UUUUUUUUUGAAGUGAUAACAUCGGCAUAAAAUUUAUAUCUUAAUUAGAAUACCGUUUAAUGCAGAGUCUAACAGUUAGUUAUUCUGAUAAUUCAUAAAACAAAAUGAAAAUAACUUGAAGUUCUUGACAAAUGUAUGAAUGAUUAUAUCUUGGUACAGUUAACCUAUUUUGUUACUCGUGCUUGAAUGGUGAUAUCAACCAUAUUAACACAAGAAUUAAAUGUCUUUUAUUAAAGUUGAAAUAGAAGGAACUCAAGUGGGAUGCGUGCAAGAUCAAACAGGAAUUGGUCCAGAAAUGUCGAAAUUAACAAUUAAUACUCCGUCUAAAGUGGAACCAAGUAGCUAGAAGAAUAAGACAGCUCUUAAAUGACCGAUUUGCAUUGACACAAUCGACAGGAACAUAGGUACAGGUAGGGUUGAAAUUCUCUUUCCAGGAACAUCAACAAAUUCAACUCUAGUUGAAAUUCAGACAUUAGUUUUCUGUACCAGAAAUACAAAGUAGAAAAAAAAAUUAUUAAAAUAAAGGUUGCAGUAUGCACAGUCAAUUAUUUCAAGAAUCCCAGAUUGGGCCGAAGGCAGGAAUUCCAGCACCUUUGCAUGCAUUGACGACAUCCCUACUUCCCUCUGGAUUGCUAGUAACGAUGACAACUUCAGCACCCCAUUUCUUGGCAGUAUCAACACUCAUUUGGGAAACAUUUGGACGUCCAAGGAGAGCUGUAUCAUGAACUAUCACCUUAUCCCUCGGGUGUCCACUCAUCCAGGUCUUAAUUUCCUUGCCAAAAUUUUGCUCAACACCUUUGGUCACCCAAAGAAAGCAAACGUUGGCUCUACAUGGCUGCAGAAGGAAUGACAAAAACACACAGAUGCCCGAGCCAGUUGCCACCACCAAGACCCUAUCGUACAUGUUCACCAGAUAAGGAAGGCCUGCAAAGUGCACCUGUCGCACCCAUAAGUGGCUUGGCGGGUCAGAGACUAAGGACUUUGUGAAGUCACCAACUGCACCUGCCAACAUCAUGUGCUCAUUCUUCCCAUCAGAGAUUAUGCCGAAGGCAUGCCACUCUGAGAAUGGAGAUGGGCUAAUUCUUCCAAGUAUUCCGGCUUUGAUACCACCCUGGAACUUGAUAAUGGAUGCAUGGCCUGAAGGGGACGAGAUUUUGACUGGGACACGUCUCACUGUUAUCCAUGGGAUGAUAAUUAGUACGGUAAUGGCCACUGUAAACCAGAACUCCUGAUGUUUAACCAGUUCGGAGCCGAUAUCGCUCCUGUAGGAUUUAGUCUUGGGGUCAUAAGAGAUAGUGAGGAUCACAAAGGCCCAAAGGAGAGCCAGAGCUGACCACCCUGCAAAACGAUGAGUUCUCUCGAAUACGUUGUGAUGGAGGUGGCGAAUGAGAGGAAAUGCUGCCAAAGCAGACAGGCAAAUAAGUGCAAGAAUGGUGGAUGCCACGCCAAUUAUCUCAGAUGAAGUGCUUUCUCUGUCUUUGAGAGUGAGAACCAAAGCAUAAAUGAGCCAUGCAAUUGAGGAGAUGCCACAACUGCUAUGAAUCCCUCCAAGGGAUUGAAGGAGGGAAGUAAUCAUAGUUUUGAUUCGAAUAGGCACCCAAGAAUGGCCAAAAACUUUCACUACGAGCCAGAAUACGAUCCUCAAGAAGGCCUCACUUCGACAGAGAGUCAAAGCAAAUAUGUUUGCGAUAGCGAAUAAUGCAGCCUUGUUCCUGGCAUAUGGGAAGUGUCCGGUGGCAGCAAGAACCAAACCGGUGAUGUUGAGUGUCAAGCAAACAACAAAAAGCCGCUUGUAAACUGUGAACAACCCUUGAUCAAGCAGUAUAACAGAUAACCUGUUGGGGUUUGGUUUUGCUGCCGGCUUCGGCUUUUCUUCACGUUUACUGGCGGCUGGUGGAAGAAGAGGCGCUGGUGACAUUGAGGGCUUGAAUUUCUCAUUGUCAUGAUGAGCUUCAAGGCCUUCUUCAAUAUCAGCCAAAGUAUCUCUAUCUUCAUCGUCAUCAAGGUCCAGGUCACAGAAAUGGCUGCUGGUUUUGCUCAUAGACCUCUGUAUAAGGUCUCCAGCAUCAGGUACAAUCUUUGAAUCGGUUCCCCAUGGAAACCAAAUUCUUUUGCUUGAAGAAUUUGUUGGGAUAGCAAAUGGAUCUGCAUGAGGUUUGAUCUCAAAAGCUACGCCUCGGCAGCUUGAAAACCUCCCAAUCUUUUCACUCUGCAUGUUGAAGUUUUCGCUGCCUAAAAACAAUGCUAGUUUUUUUAAGCGUUUAACGCAGUUGUUAAGCUAGGAUAUUUGCGUUAAAGCUUGUGCUCUGACUGGGGGAUGUUUGCCUAUUUAUAGCCCUCUUGAGCUCCAGAGCUGACUUUCUUGGAUAUAAGGAUUUUUUAUUAUGUUUAGAAGUAACACAUGAAUAUGACUUAGUCAAGGAUACACGCGUUUGCGUUGUAAUGAAAAGUUGACUUGUUAUUUAUUGCAUUUAAUUAAAAAUCAAUUUCUCUUUCACUAACAUCCAAUAAUCUUGGUUCAAGUAAUCGAAGAAAAGUUGGAGCAAUUGUAAUACUAGUUUUUCAUUCUUUCAAGUUAAAACAACGUUCUGCAAUUUGUGGCAUUUGAUACCUGAUUAUGUAUCUCUAAUGGUACUCAAUUUAUGCAAAUUAAAUCUGAAGGGUCUUCAACUUCAUUGGACACUCAAUUUCUUUCGAACUUAUAGCAAUCUUGAUGUUAACUUUAAGUCAUGAAUUGAUAUGUAAUUGUGUUACAAUAUAGGGGUUACUUAAAAUUUUAGUUGUUUAUAGUUAGUUUAGAUAUUACUAGCUACUUGAUACAUGUGCUAUCUAUUCUAUAAAAAUUCAUUUUUGGGUACAUUACAUCAAUCCUGACUUUCAUUCCUUUUGGUUCUAUUCUGGUGCAGUUACUUCCUAUAGAUUCAACAGCUUUUCUUCUUGUAAUAUCCCAUGCCAUCCCUCACGAAUUUCAGCAAAAUUCCUUGCCUUGUUCUUUUCUGAUCAAAGUCAAUCUCCAGUCCAUGAGUUGAAAAACCUCAAUUGUACAACCGGUAAGAAUGAAGAAACUAUGCCAUAAAAAAAAAAAAAAAAACUAUUGAUCAUUUAAUGUAUUUUGAAUCUGAAUUUGGAUACCACAUUUUGACAGUCUUUCCAGAAAUACAGAGAAAAAAGUUCAAAAUAAAUGGUUUGGUUGAUUUGGCUGAUUCAAUUGUAGAAAUGAAGAAUCUUCUACUAUAUCAUUUAUUGGAAGGCUAGGAAGGGAGAAUUGAAAAUUUCCAAGUCGAUGAGCUUUUUGUCAUUAAUAAUGGUUGGGUAUCAUUUAUUUUGAGGCAGAAUUUAUGCAACUUAGUUUAGUUCGUGGCAAACUGGGAAGGCAAAAAGGGCCAGCAAUAAACAACAACUCAAUAAUAUCUCUUGACUUCUAUUCACAUUUGUCCUUUUUUUUUUUUCUUUGGACUUAUAUUCACUUCAUAAAGUAGGAAAAAUUCCAAGUCGCCAAAACAAAUUACUGGCCAAACUUGGAUUGAUCGUCGUGGAAUAUUAAAAUUGACAAAGUGUUUAAAAUUGGUCAAUCACCGGAAAAAGUAAAAAAAAAAUUUUGUACAUUUUAAUGUCUAUUAUUUUGCUUUCUGAAACGUGCAAAGUAGCAUUUUUUUUUUUUUUAACAAAAAAAGCAUGUAAAAAAGAAGCUUGUUGAAAUACAGACUUUGAGGGUGUCUGUUCCCCUAGUUUGACAAUACAGUGCAGUUUGUAGAACAUAUAGUUGCACUUUGUAAGUUCCAAAUUUUGAACAAUUACUGCCAAUACAUUAAUUAAGUUACACUAAUUAAUGACGGGUUUGGAUGUUGAGCGAACAACGGUUAAAACAGCCAAAAAUGGGGAAAUCACUUUAGAAAAAUAUUUAAAUGCGGAGUACUAAAUGUAUUUGUAUUCACAUAACAAGUCAAAAAAUUCACUAACAAAAAAUUUUCCAAACCUGCCAUUUAUGUUCUCCUUUCCAUUUGCUAGAGCAAAUACGUAUACAUACUUUCCUUACAAAAAAUAAAGGAAAAAAAAAAAACUCAAGGCAUGAGAAAUGAGCACCUGCAUCUUUAUCGGAUAUUCGAUUGUAAUUUCUUUAAUGAUUCAACAACAGAAACCGGAGCGGGUGGGGAAUUCAUGGCCUACCGCCAAAGAAGGCAAUAUGAACUGCAUUAAACGUCACUGUUUAAAAGAAAGCUAGAACAAUAAGAUCUUUGUAAGCACUCAAAAUCAAGGAAAAAAAGAGGGAAACAUUCAUCACCGGUUACCGAACUAUAACAAAAUCCCAUUGUUCAUUUUUUUUUUUUAUAUGGCUGGUGUCAAUUUAUCCAUUAAUUAAUUUUUCAAUUUUUGCCAUUUUGGUCAUUUCGUCAAUUUGCUACGGUGACUCUCUAAGAUAAGUCAUGCACAUGAUAUGUAUAUCAUGUCUCUAGAGCAAUUUCUCCAUUUUGCAGAAAAAUACCCAUGAACUUUUAAAUGCACCCGGGAUUUCUUGCCACCGUGUGGUGAGACACAUGCAACAUUUUUUUUUUCUUGGGGUGAGCGGAUACGUGCAACAUUAACAAAUACAAAUUAAUCAAAUAACCAAAAAAUAUAUAUUCAGAAGUAAAAUAGGUGGAUUGGCCCUAGAAUAAUUUUAGUGGGCAAUCUAAACUUAUCAAUCUAAAAAGUUAAAAACAAAAAGAAAAAAGAAAAAAAAUCCCCUUAGACCCAGUAAGUCGUUUUCAUUGUUAGGUAUUUCUUGCUUAAUUCCCUAUUUUGUCCGUCAAAUAUAUAUAUAUCUGAAAAUGGCCAAUUAUUUUUGAGUUGACGGGAAGUUUUUUUUUUUUUUUUUUUUGGCUGCCUAAAAUUAAAGAGACAAGAAUUGGAGCCAUGCAAUAAUUUUAGCAGUAGGGGUAGUGGCACCAGUAGGCCAAGGUCAAGCACUACUUUGCAUUGACUUGGCACAAGACAAACUCUAUUUGUCCGCAAGUCCAUGGCAAGUCUUCGAUCAAUCCAACAACAAAACAAUUUGAGCGAAUCUAUCCAUCUGCAUUCAUGUGACUAAACACCUAAACCAUAAACACGACACAACAAAGGGUUUUCACCGGCGAGUCUUACAAAAAAAACGCGUUUCAACGAUUUACGCUUCUCUGACUUCUUACGAAAUUGCUUCAUUCUUUUCCUCAGAGUUGAGAAUCUCUUUUUCUUUUGGUAGUGUAACGGGUUGCAUGCAUGAUCUCCCCACAAAGUCUGCCAUCAUAGCCAAAUGGACAGUUCAUACCUCAGAAUGCACAAUUGCCAAAUGGCUUACAUUAAUUUUUGACAAAAACUGUGGCACUUUUCUGAAUAGCAUUCUUCGAGAAGUGCUAUAUAUGUUGAUUAUUUGGCAGUUUUUUCAACACAUUUCUAUGUAAAACUUGAGAAAAAAAUUUCAAUCCAAAAGAAUGAACCUGAGAAAAUAUUAUAUGGAGACUUUUAGGCAAAGAUAAGGGUACAAAAUAAGAGAAGCCAGCAUAGUUUCAGAAACUACAAGAUUUUUUUUAUUUGAACAGGAGAUUAUUUGAAAUAUUAUUCAGAAUAAUUAUGUCAACCUCAAGCGGGAAUUUUUCAUCUAAUUAUCAGUGGAAUUAUGAGUUUCUACUGCACAAUAAGGAGCAGUGGCCAAAAGGGGGGAAACGGAAAACAACGGAGAUUGCUGACCUAUGUACGGCAUGGGAAUCUAGUCUAGUGAUAAUAUUUUUAGUAUAACCACAGACUUCAGCCUUGACUCGUAGCUGGCCUGUAUAACUAAUUGGUGCAGCCUACACUUCAAACUUCAAUUCCUACCUCAAGAACCAAUAUAUAGUAGCAAGGUCCAUCUAAUUGAUGACUUACAAGUUAAAUAACAAUUAUCCUCAUUUCCUUGAAUGAUCUUGGCCAUCUGUCACCUCAGAUUUCACACCACCAAUAGUACUUCAAUUCGCGGAAGGUCAAUGUAAUUGACAUAGAAUUUAAAUAACAAUUACCUUCGUUUCCUUGAAAAAUCCAGGGCAUCAAUCUAUCACUCGACCUAUCACAUCACAACUAAUACUUCCUCUCUUAAUUAGCAUGAGAAACAAGUUUAGGAAGGUCAGUGUAACAUACAUCUCCAUUUCCUUGAAUCGAUCUAGGGCGUCUAUCACUUUACAUUUCACACCACAAUAAUGCAUGCUCAAAAUUUUAGCUCAAGAAACAGAUUUUGAAAGGUCAAUGUGGUUGACUUGGAAUUUUAAAUAUUAUCUUCAUUUCUUUGAAAAAUAUAGGGCAUCUAUCAGAUGUGGAGGGGGAAGGUCAUUAGACCUCGCUUUAUCAACCUGAAUCUUAAUUAAAUGUUAGUUUCUGGUAAGAUUUUUGCAAUCUUAUCAAAAAAGAAAAGAAUAGACUUUUGCAACUUGACAUGCAAAUUCAGACAUUUCAAGUUGAAUGAUAGACAUGUUGUAUUCAUCAGUUGAGCUUUCUUUUUCCGGCUUCACGGGAGUAGAGACUUGAAGAUUUCGAUUCAAUAUUUGUUUGACAAUGCAGUUGAUACCACAUUAAUAGCGUAUUGUGUUUUUUUUUUUUUUUAACUAGUGUUAGAUGUGAGACAUUGUCCUUAUUUCAUCACGACGCAUUCAUUACACAAAUAAUCAAUCAGGUUUAAGGAAAAAAAUUAAUGCAAUUUGAAUUUCUUAAUUAGAUUUGUCAAAUAUUUUCCAGUCGUAAUCGACCCAUAAUUCUAGUCUCUCAGAUGAUAAAGUUGAAACAUUUUGCCAAUUCCGAUUAGAGAAGGUUGAAUUUGGGUUUAGAAUAUAUAUAUCUUCUUCAUACAUCAAUGAGGAAAUUUCGCUUUAUCAUUUUACCCGUUGGAAGAAAUCAAAUCUGAAUGAGUUUUGUACGCGUAAUUAGAUGCCAGAAGUCUUUAAGUGGAAUGAUUCGUGUUAGUUGCUUUAUCAUUGAUAGAUAUGAUUAUGCCAUCCUUGCCAAGUUGCCCAGCGCAGAUUGAAGCAUCUUCCAAUCUCUAACUUUUUGAGCAUUUUUUUUUUUUCAAAUCUAAGUACGUAAGUAAAUUUUGCAUGUUCUGGUAGUUGGGUUGGAUUUAUUAUAUUGUCAUGUCAGUAAAAGUCUUCAAAAAAUACUUUUCAGUGAAAAGGAUUGUGGAUUUAAUUGGAAGUCUUUAGGAUAAAUUGUCAUUUUGAGAUGCUAAAGAUUUCAAAACCACCAUUAGAAGUGAUAAUUUUAAUAAUUAACAGGUAUUAGCUUAAUAAUUUGCGGCAAAAAUGUCCUUUUAAUUUUUGAAAUAACUGUUUGAAAUACAUUCUCAUUAAAUUAGAAAUAUAAUCUACAACAAAAUAGAAUGGAUAAUACGUGCUUGCAUAUUAAUCUUUCUUUUUUGUUCGUGUAAGAACCUGUGCAUUAAUGUACGUGGUGCCUUUUCUGUAGUGCAUCAUUAUCAAAAGAAUCUGAUUUUGAGAUGAUCAAAGUGCCAUGGUGCAGGUUAAAGCCUGACAAUUUUUAAGAAUUAGUCUUGGUAUAUAUAAAUAGAGGAGUUAAAUCAGCCUCAAUAUAUAAUUAAUUAUUUUGCGCUUUCAGCAUAAUGCAACACACAUUAUUUAUUUAACAUCAUAAUGCAGGCAAUUAAUUGUUGAGCGAGAUAGCCACCUAACACUAAUACAGUUGGAAAAUUCAUAUCAAAACUAUUGAGUACAUGAUGUCUUAAUUUAGAGUCAAUCAAACACGAUGAUAUUGCUUCCUUCUAAAAGACAAAAGUGUAUAUAUGUUCAUAAUAUUCUUGUGUAGUGAAGACGGGUUUAAGACCUCUACAAUUAUCAGUGACAAUUGUUCCACACAAUGAGUGUUUUAACCUCAAAACUAUAGAUACUAAUGAAUACAAUAAAGUGUCAAAGUAAAAUUUUUAAUGCAGAUUCGAAUAUAAUUUUUACGUAAUAAUAUUUUAGUGUCUACAUUUGCUAUUUAGUGUGUGCGUAUAUAUAUAUAGUGUUGUAUUUUAUGAUAAAAUCACAACUUAGAAUUAUAGAAAAUCCCAAUUAACCCUAGCUACCAUAAUCCAAUGAGAAGAGUCAAUGAUAAAAGUUUGGAGAGUUUUAACUCUUAUAAUCUUGACUUGGCAGCAGAAGAGCACUAAGUGACUUAAUCUGAAUAUCUGCAUAGUAAUUUACAACUUAUUAAUUAAUGGUCAAACCAUAAAAUGAGAAAAAACUAAAGGGCAAUAAAGUUGUGAUUGAGUGCAAUAAGCUCGCUCGAUUAACACCAGAGGACCUUGCUGGUGACAAUUUCUGGUCUUUCUGGAAAAAAAUCUUCUCUAUAAUUUGCUUUAUUGUUCAUUGCUCAUAAGAAUCUCCUAGGGUAGACCCUGACCCUCGAAAUAAUAGUUGAACUUGCUUUCAUAGUUAGGCUAGACCCUUGAAACCCUAGUUAAACUUGCUUGACAAGGUGCUUUCAUUCGAUUCUAAUUGUGUUUGGCGUUUGUUUAAUUCUUAAAGGACUCAACUACCUACAGAAGCCCCUUCAAUUCAGGGUUUGACAAAGGAAAUUAAGUAGACCAGGUCACCGGGAAAAGUUUAAUUUAUUGCAGUUGCUCGAGGUCUUCGAUAUGCUAGCAGAAAAGUUUUCCUGGUCUGGGGACCCUUCCUCCAUUGAACUUUAGACAUCUCAACUUUAAAAAAUUCAACCUGGAUCGCAUCUCUGCAUGCAUCAAGUGUAAGAUUCUUUUAAGAAAAUCAUGAGGAUAACCUUUGGUUAAGAGGAAUGAGAUUAAGUAACAAUACAUUAGAAUUAUAUCUUUAGCAAACAGGCCAAUAAACUUGCAUCAUGAACCUUUUUUCUCCAAACUAUGCUUCAAAAUUUCCUCAAGUCUACGUGCUACUCGAUCAUAUCUAGGAAAAGAAACAAGAGGCAAUCAAAAGGGUUAUAAUUAAACAGCACAAAUGACCCCAAAAUGUUCUGACCUUGUCCAUCUGGUUAUCUAAAAAUUCGUUGACUAAAUGAUAUUUUUUGUAAAAUUAACCAGUGAUUUUUUUUUAAUCUCUUCCAUAACACAUCUAACCUCGAUCCUAGCAUGAUUCCUACGACUGGACUGCGUGGUUGACAUUUUUCUAACACUGAAAGACAUAAUUAAUUAAAAUUAAAGAAAGAAGAUUUACUUGCACAAGUAAUGAACUGGACUCCUCAUUAAUUGACAUCGUUUUCAGCGGAGUAGAAUGACAUGGAACUAGUUUUGCAUCACCGCUCAAUUUAAUGAAUAUGUAAUUAGGUCAAUUUAUGUUAGUAAGUGACAGAAUUUAGUAAUUGUCAAAAUCUUCAAUUAUUUACAAUUCCUUGUAAGCAAUUACAACGAAGGCCUCGAAAGUGCUGGGAACAACCUUCUUUGGUUAUGACCUAACCACUUACUUAUCAAGCUUUAAGCUUAUUACCAACUCAAUUACUACUUUAGAACAAAAUUAAGGUGUAAAUUACUUGCUAAUUACUUGUUUGGAAACGGAAAAGCAACCGCGGUAAAACUUUAGUGCAAAUUCAACAUGUACAUUUUUCACCCUUAAAGAAGUCUAUGGCCCUGAAUAGUUAAUGCUAACAACUAUAUAUAUAUAAGUAAAUUUUAUAUAUACUAUCACCGUUGAAUUCAUGACACAUAUACAAAAGUUAGAGUUUAAAUUCAAAUUUUGUAUAGUUAUUAUUCAUUCAAUACACCGUCAGUAUAAAAAAAAAUUAAUCAUAUAUAUAUUAUAUAUAUAGUCUGACUCGAUUUUUAGUUUUGCCAAUGCCAAUUUGGCACGACCUCACUAAGCUCGUUAGAACAAAUUAUAAAGUUGUCAAAGGGAAUUUGGUCUUGUUAUUGACUUUUUUGUAAUUCUAUCUUCUGCAUGACUUAAUAAUACUACUUACUUGGGAAAGUAACUCGUAGCAGAAACUCCAAAAUCAUAUCAUAAUAUGGGAUUAAAUUAAGAUUUGAAGUUUCUUAUGGCAUUCAUGCAUAUGAAAUUUUUUCGAUAAUUGGAUGGGGAACAUAGUGGAUAGAGUUAGUUGAUGAGAAUUACGAACAACUUUUAAUGAUGUGUUUAUAGUAAGUAAAAGAUUACCAUACUAAAGGGUAAAAAAGAAAGUACUUGAGAGGAGAAUCAGUAAUCACUCCUUAGCCAAGAGGACCAAGAUGAGUGGUUAGUUAAGGAAAUUAAAAUGACUCCAAAUUGUGGAUUUGGAUUGUUGUCAACGUUGAUCUUUUCAGAAAGAUAGCACAAGAACGUAAGUUAAUUUGAACAUAUUCGUCCCCUAGUUUCUAUAUAUACACUUAGGUGAUAUUGUAGCAACUUUUGAGCUGGAAGUAGUUGGGCUACGUAAAACAAUUCAUAUGACUCCAUAACCAAAAGCUUUUACCGUUUCACGGAGAAAAUUGUUUCCUGGGGAGAAUUGGUCAGGAUCGCGCAAACUCAAUAUAUUUUUUUGACUGAAAUCUUUCUAUAGUUGUGUGUCAUUUUUCCUCUGGUCGGUGAGAGCUGGUCAGUAACCGAGUCCAAUCAGAUUCUGGUUAAUUGGACUGUAGUAAUUAAUCUCUGAAGGUGAAUUCUGUGGUGCGCAUGAUGUCUACUGUCUGCAUCUGUAGAUAUCCAAUUGUAGAAAAAAAAAAUAUACUGAAUGCGAUCCAUUCGACAAAAUAUUGAUAGGGAAAUCGUAGCAGGUACAAGUGAAUUGUAUUUACAGCCAACAAAUCAAAGAGGUAGAGACAAGUUCGGCAUUUAGAAGUCAAUUCCAUAGUAAUAUUGGUUUGCAGUUUUACUAUCGUGCAUGCAACUGAUGAUAGUUGUGGGGUGGCAUUCCAUAGGCUCUGAAUCUAGUGAUUUGUCGUAAUUAGUAAUUCCACGCUAGGGGUAACGUAAUCAAGAAUUCAUUAAAAGAAAUGCUUACUUGGUCUUCUCUCCACCAGAUCCAACUAAUUAAUUUUACAUGCGAUUCUAGUUUACGCCUGCUAAAAUUCAUCAAAUAAUACUCUAAUUUGUCGAUACAUUAUUUGCCGAGCAGAUUUUGAUUUCGUGGAUAAAAUUGAAACUCCGGAAAUUAGAGAUUUUAAAUUUAAAUCUCCUAUGUCCUCCCUACUAUUUAAGUUUCAUCCUUCCCUUGCUGAAAAAAUUAAAAAAAAAAUAAUAAUAAUGCUCUACCUUUUCGACUACUUUCGUACGUAGUCAUUGCUGAGUGUUAAUCUGCCCAAACUGGAUCUGAAUUUUUGGGUCAAAUAAAUUUACAUGCCAAGCAAGUGGAGACCAGUAACGGCAGAAGCUCAAUUUGAGCAUCGUAGGGUAUAUAUUCAACCUUGGUGACAUUCUGAUAUCUAAGGAAUUCUAAAACUCUAAUUAGCAUGAUUAUUAUCAAAGUAAAUAUAAAGUGUAGAAUGUUUGUAUUUCCACAAGAAAAACAGCAGAAAAGUAUUAUUGGUUAGAUUGCUGUUUUUGCAUACUGCCACCCUAGCUCUCUUAUUUCGUCCUUUCUUUUUCCCCGUUUUUCGGUUGAAAUGAGAAGACAAGAUAUCUUGUUUAAUCUUUCCAUCUGCAUUGUAGUAGGAGUAAUAACUAGAGUGAAUGUUGAGGAGUGUAACUUUGCUGGUCCUGUUAUAUAUACUUCUUUAAUUUGAUAAACAAACGAAUCUGAGAGGAUAAAUAAUUUUUCUGCUGCAGAAAGAAAAGAUUUUCAAAGCCACAGAAAUGGGCACUUGAAUUAUCACCUGACACGGUAUUAAUAUCAAUUGAUUCAACAGAAUUAGUAGAGUUUUGAAAUAAUACAAGGACUGCCUUAAAUCCAAGAAAGUUCCCUUUAACUCUAUUAUAAGAACUUUUCAUAGUUAGGUAUCUCUAUUUAAGUCCCUUAUGUACAUUGAACUUGAUUCUACAACAUGACCAGUACGAGUUUUUUUUUUGUUUUUGCUCCUUUUCGGAAUUCUCUAUAAUUCUUUCUAAAAUUUCAAGUCCUAAUCACAAGUUUUUUUAUUAUUCCGAGUCACAAAAAUAAGUUCAAAACAAUGCAGGUAAAUUCAAAAGCUCCAUUUGUUCCAUCAAAUUUCUAAAGUGGGCUUUUUUUAAUUUUGAGGUGACAAGAAAUAUUUUGCAUGAAGAAGAAUUGGGAUCCUUUUUUUUAAGAGGAUAAUACUGAUUUUAAACCGCAACCAAUCAAUUACAGAUGAAACGUUUUGUCAACUAAACUGCGAUGCAUCGUCGCAUUGGGACCCUAUAGUGGCACAACUAUGCAGCCUCACCUUUGCAUUGACUUGGCACAAGUCACGGGCAGUUUCUUCGCUUUCGAUCAAUCCAACAAGAACUUGCUCGAAUCUAAGUACUUGUAUCCAUACUUCCUUUUGACUGUGACUAACCAGUAAAGUAUAAACACAGACAAACAACAAACGAUUAUCACGUACGAGUCUUGCAAACAAACACUACGCGUUUCAACAAUUCACGCAUCUCUGUCUUCGCACCAAAAUUGAUUCAAUGUUUCAGAAUGCAAUAUGGAAGUGUUAAAAGUUUAUGAUGGGACAAAAUAUUAAGUUUGGCAAAUAUUUUCUGGACAAUAUGUGAGAUUUAUAAGAGAUUGAAACGGUUUGAAGGCGCCAUUUGAUUUUACAUGGAAAAAAAAAUAGUCACUAUUAUUUAGCAAGAGAAGAUUUGAGAGAAAUUGGCAAGUUAUUGAAAGUUAGUCGCAGUUAUUUUGAUAAGUAUAUCUGACGAACUGUUUAUUUUCCUCCACAAUCCUACAACAAAAUUUGCAGGACACAAAAUACAGGAAAGUGCAGAGAAAUUUUCUAAACUUUAGUGCUAAAUGAAUACACACAAAGAAAGAAUAGCGAACUUUUGUUCACUUUCCUACAUUUUAACCUUGCAGCCAAACACUACCAAACUAUGCGUGUGAAAGGAUUCUAAUGCUGCUAGGGCUAUGGAAGUUCUAAUUUGAGACCUUGAGUUAAUCAGAAACUAACGUGCCUUAGCCUUUUAAACAUGCAUUUUGUGUAGCCGUCUAGGUGCUAUUGAAGUCACACAAAGUCAUUAACUAUAGAAAACGUUAACUCUGUGUGGAUGAGUUUUUUACAUUUUCCAAAAAUGUAAAAAGAUGCAAGGUUUUCAGUAUCCAAUAUUUGACAUUCAAAGAUCCUACCAAAAAAAAAAUUUUUUUUUUUGUUCAUCACUUAACUUGAACCCGGCUAUUGAUAUAAACAUUAUCACUGAUAGUUCAAAAAAAUGUAAGCAGGAUCAAUUGAUGGUAGCCGUAAGUAUCAGCACCCCUACAUUACUCAAUAAUUUGUUCAUACAAAUUAAUUGUUGAACAAUUACGUUAAUUUUUUAAAUUUAAAGUAACAAGUGUUUUAAUUUACUAUAGUAAUAGUCAAUAAUCUUGCACAAUUACAUUAAUUUUUUUUUUUUAAUUUAAAGUAGUUUUGAUAACCGAUGAAUUGACAUGAAAACUUCAAAAGACAAGUUGGAUUCGAAACCCAACACUAACUGGGACGCCGCACAAUACUGUUCGGGCCUUAAUUAGUUACUGGACCUCAACAACUCAAGUCCACUAGAUCUGUGUUUCUCUGAACAUUGGUUAAGCACAGCAAACCUUAAGGCCCAAUCGAUCCCACCCACGCCAAGAAGAAAAGGUCUCUGUGGAGAGUUCUUGUGCUCUAUACUUCAGCAGUUCCCUUUGUUAAAAAAAAAAUAGAAGGGCAAAAUAUCUCAGUGAUCCUUAAACUAUUACAAAUUUUAACUUUUUUACUUUUCAACUAUUAAAUAAGCAAUUUUAGACUCCAACUACUUAAAACGUAUACUCGUAACCUUUCUGUCAACUUAAGUCGUUACGUCUAACAGAAAUAGCACCAAAAAUUUCAAGAUCCACCUUUAUUAUUCUGUCGAACAUAACGAUUCAUGUUGACAUAAGAGCUCUGAGUAUAUGUUUUAAUUACUUAGAGGGUUAAAAGUGUCCAUUUAAUAAUUGAAGAGUUAAAAGUUGAACUUGGUAAUAGUUUAAGGAUUAUUGGGCCAUUUUGCCCAAAAUAAACUUAAAAAGAUACCUGCAACUUUGACUCCUUUUUUUUUUUUUUUUGUCCUUUAAGUUUAUAAGAGUAGCCUCUCAUAAAUGGAAAUAAAAAGCUUCUGAUGAUUGGCUUCAAGUUACAUGCUGUACAUGGAAUUUACUUACACGGAAGAUAUUUCCGUUUGAAUUUCUUCACAAAACCUUCAUCUGUCUUCUUUACUGUUCCAAAGACAAGGUCAUAAUAAUAUGUUAAACAAGUUUUUAGAAAUUAAUUUUAAGUUUCCUUUUAUUUCGCAUUUUCUUUUUCUUCUUGUACUAAUGUUGUCCCUGAACCAGAGCAUUCUUCACGUCUUCUAUUUAUUAAAAAAAAUUGAAUCAACAAAUUAUUAUGUUGCGCAAAAACAUCAUGAAGGCCUUCGAAUAAGAACAUUAGUUCCUUUCUACAGAAUAUUUUGCAAGCAUUGUUUCCACUUUGAGAGCAGUAUGGUAAUGUUUUUCUAUCUGUACCGAUCUAGUUUUGUAAUUGAAUAAGGGCUUUUUUUUUUAACAUGUAUCUUCCAUGUGUAAUUUAUUUCUUUUGAUCAAACAAAGUAUUUGUUAUCCCUUGAGUUGGCCAAAAUGGAAGAGUUAAUGUUAUACCUUCCUACCAAUUCGGGUUCAAACCUCUUUUAGAACAUCUGCCCACCGCACGGGAGUUGCCUAGUGCGUCUUACCCUCCGUUCCUGUGCUUAUUACUACAAUCCCUUGUCAGCCAAAAAAAAAAGUAUUGGUUGUUCUGUGCUAGAAUGUGCAUAGUUCUCUUCUUUAAAGAAAAUGAUAGUGUAAUUUACUAUAAAGAUGAUAUUUAGACUUAAGUUAUUACUACAAGGUAUUGAAUGAUUGUUGCAACAACCAGAGCUCAACUACUAAUUAUAACUUCUAAUUGCUUAUGGUAGCAAUAGCUAAGAUACCAUAUAAAGAUGAUCUUAAGUUAUUACUACAUGGCAUUGAAUGAUUGUUGCAACAACCAGAGCUCAACUACUAAUUAUAACUUCUAUAAGCUCAAACUAGAUAUAUUCUUGAAACAUGAUGUAAUUGCUUAUAGUAGCAAUAGCUAAGAUACCAAUAAUCAAAGGCAGAAUCUCCUCAGCUGAUUUAAGGAAUUCACCAAAUAUACUUCUUGUUUAAGCUUUUUAUUUGAACCCCCACCAUGUUACUUCUCUCACACGAAAAGAGAAAAAUGACAGCCCUCCUACAAAUCAAGCAAGAAAGCAAAUCAUUUUUUCAUCUCUACCAAAGCUCUUAGUAAUAUCUUUUUUUUAAAAGGAGCUAAGAAUCAGUGAGGAAUGUUAACGUAGGCAUAAUGUAGAAUCCAAAUUUUAGUCUUCUAAUAAUAAUUAAUAUGUGCAGGGCUACAAAUUUGAAUGGAUAAAAUAAUCAUUCAAAAUAUUUAUGUGAAAGAUAAGAAAAUAAAUAAUAGACACUAUUAUUAUAUCUCAAAACAGUAGAAGAAAGUCACACUACAAUAAAAGCUUACUAACUCUUCCAGACUCUCUAAAGAAAAUAUCAUAACCGAUGCUUUAUUUAUAACUAAUCAGACUUGUUCGGUAAGCAACCACUUACAUCAACAAUUAUCCAAUAAAACACAUAUUUUUAAUUAACACAAUUACAAAAAACCUGACUCCAAUAAAACUAGCAAAUAAAUAAUAGAAACUUCUAGUUUUUGGUUUAUUUUGCCAACAUAUAACACAUGGAUUUAGUCCUUGCCGACCUCUCACAGUCUCACUAUAAGUCUGAAGAUGGUUUUUCUUUUUUCUUUUUUCUUUUUCCUUUUUGGAUCAGAAAUCAUCAUCUUCAUGAUCCUCCAGCUCCCAUGAUCCAUCUGCCUGUUGAACCAUGCCUUUAUUCUGAAUACACCACCAAGAAACCGGUACACAAUGUUCAUCCUUUAAUACAUCCAUAUAUUUGUUAAGAAGUGCAACAUCACGAUUCACCACCAGCUUGAAUCCUUCUUGAAGCCCUUGUUUUCCCGCGACUCCAUGCAUGUAGCAUUCCAGGCUAUGCCAAGAUGACAAAUUUCCAGGAUUUUUCAGGUACUUUGAUUUAGUUGUAUCAAUUCGCAACUCUUCGCCGACAUCGGCAUAACCUAGCAAUGGAUAAUUUGGAACAACAUCUAGGGAAUUAUGAAUGCGUAGGACUCGAAGGUUUUGUUGCUGAGAGAACACCUUUUUGAAGCCCUGCCCCCCAACUCGAGGGCUCGCGUACACAAAGGCUGUGACAGGACAAGCCUUGCCUGGAUUCUCUAGAGAUUUGUUGAAUCCAUUAGCAACUAUGUCCACCGCAUUAAGGGUUGCCACCGCGGCACCCAAGCUGUGACCUGUUACAGUUAUACUAAUUUCCUCAUCUUUGAAUUCCUCCACCAGCCUCCUGACCUCGUCCAGAACCUUAAACAUACAUACCACAGGAGCAAAAAAUUAAACUUCGUACCCAAAAAUAAAAACUGAAUAGUGUUGCCAAAAACAGCCCUAAUUUAGAAAAGGAAAAUGUUAUUUGCCCUCCCAUCAACUGUUUUAUCAUAUAGUCAAAUAAAUGAAAAUUAUAUGAUUAAAAUAAUAACAGAAGUGUGAUUAACAAAAAUAAUAGUGCAAAUAAUAUUUCCCCAAAAGGAAAAUGUGAUCUUUUACCUGGUCUCUAGCACUGGUCUUGUUGAAAGGUGAUCUUGAAUCAUCUGUUGUGUAGAUGGAGUACCAACCUUGAUGCACCUUAGGAUCAUCAUUUUCACCGAAAAUCUUAGGUGCUGAGACUAAAACAAAUUCAAGAUCAUUAACCCAUUCCAAACUCCUAACUGUUCCUCUCCAAGCAAUCACAAUAUCCCUUCUUCCUAGUGCAACUUUUCCUUCAUCUGUCGCCACAGCAACAUAACCCAUCCAAUUUGAUUCCUUGCUCCAUGCCUCUCUUGAGAACGAUUUUAAGAUAAAACCCUCAGGAAGUUGGAUCGAUGAUGUCGCGUACAGGUAUUUUGUCACACGAUACUUAAAGGGAUUGCCAUUCUCAAGGCCAACCUUAGCGAAAAGAUCUUUCUUUGCAUAGAGGCAACUUCCUGCAUACCUUGAUGCCUUCUCUGCAUUGAAGGAAUCGUAAGUUGCUUGAGCCAUUUCUCCAUAGUGAAUGAUGUAUUGACGAAGAUCGUAAUCGAGAGGAUCCAAUAGGCCAUCCCAGUUGUUAUUGCCGCCGAGAACUUCCCAUCUUUUGUCUAUGCUAUCCAUCUUUUUAUCUAUGGUAUUGGAAUCUAUAUUUUGGUCAGUGCUAUCUGAUUUUUGGGUCUUUUUUUUUUUUGUUUGAACCAAUUCAUCGUAUUGCUUAUAUUUAUAACCUACCCGUGUUGUGAAUUUGUAAUUCUUGGUCUUCAGGAUGAGCUCAUCCUAUACACAAGUGAGGUUUCCUUGUUCAACUUUGCACAUUCCUGCACGUUUUGUCCGUCAGACUGUUGAUUAACCUCAUCCCUUCAACUUUUGUGACCAACAUGAAUGAGUGAGUCAGUUCUCAGUUAGCUGCGUUGACAAAUUUGAAGGAUAAUGGUGAAAUCAACCCAAGUAGUAUUAUUUCCAAUCAAUUCCUGGUGUAAAUUUUGCGUAACACUUGUUUUAUAACCUUUGGUUCGGGGAACUUGAUAGUGAAGUUUAACCCAAAUUUGUCCAAAAAUGUUGGCUUUCAAUUUAUUAUUGUACGAGACGUGUAACAAUAUUAGUUUGACAAAUAACAUGAGACAGUUCUCAAGUCUAAAGCUGCCAACUGAACUUGCAUUUUGUUUAGAUGUACAAUGAGUAAGACUAAUGGAGUACUGCACGAAAUGGACAAGUUUGACAUGUAGUGAAUUGCCUAUCUUCUUUAACUAUGACAGUUCACUACCUUAAAUUUCUUUAAAAACUUUUCAAAUCAAUUAUUUUCUUCACUUGGAAAAUCCAUGUUAUUACUAGAAAAGGAUAAUUCCUUUAACAUAACAUUUUUAAACGUUCACAGAUAUUUUAACCUUGGAGCAUCGUUCAAGUUAACUAUUGUUACAGAUGAGUUGAAAGAACUCUUAGAUUUAUUCUUAGUAAUUAGACAUUUACAUGCGUAGCUGCGUCAGUUAACUUCUCAAUUCUACAUAACACUUGUUUGUUAAUCAUCACUAGAGAAACUUCACCUUGAAUGUUGCUUUAUUACUUAUUAUAGUAUCAAACGCAUAAGAUAUACAGCUUGAUAGCUAGUAUGAGAAGAUUCGCAUGGCGAUAGCCGCCCGUUCAAUUUGCACAUAUGUUUAUUUGUAUUGAGUCAGAUACGGUGAGAGCACGGAUUUGCCAGCUAAAUUUUUCAUGUGGAGAAUUGACUGUAUAGGUAUUUUAUUCCAUGGCCUAUCCGUUUAACUGUGACAUGUAAUUAACUUAAUUCGGCAAAUACUUUUCAAAUUUAGGCUUUGCUUGAUAAUUUAAUUUUGCACUUGAAUUCAACGAGUUUGGACCUUAUUAUAUUCAAACACGUUUAAUAAUAAAAAAUAGAAUAUAUUAAUUAAUUAAGCGGCACUAAAUUAUCUAAGCAAAAUUUACUCUAAAAAAUAAGUAAUAGGAUGUUCACUUAUCAUUUAAUGUAAAAUAUGCUUAAAUUUUAGAAUUUUAGUACUUAACAAUUCAAUAAUUUAAUGAAUUUUAAUUUCAAAUUUUAAUUUAAUCAAACGCAUCCUAAGAAUUUCUUGAGUGGAAAUCCGUGCUAUUACUAGAAAAUGAUAAGUAUUACUUGAAUGUAUGCACAGUCUAGCACGUUCACAAAUUAUUUUUACUUUGGAGAAUACUUCAAGUUACGAAUUUUAGGUUUAUUCUUAAGUGGGACUUUUAAAUGAGUAGAGAUUCAUUCUCACGUUUCCUUCAAUCACUUACUCUAUUCUCAGCCGCUUCAACCACCUGUUAUUUUGACCAUGCAAUUUGGAGAUCAUAGUCGUGUACAAGAUGCACCGGAACAAUUGCGCUCUUUUACCACACCAUUAAUAGCGCUGCUAACUAGUCAAGCUGCUUGCAAGUAGCUCGUAAGUGACUCGAUCAAAUGAUUAGUUUGAAUUCAAUUUUAUCGAGUUUGAAUUUAAGUUCGAAUAACUCCAUGCAUAUAUCAAGUCAAGUUCGAACCUUUAUUUGUAUUUAUAUUAUAUAUACUCAUAGAAUAUGCAUGGAGUUAUUCGAAAGGACAAAUAAGUGUCUAUGUUUUGUAUAAUUUAUUAUAAGUUUUGUCUACUCAAUAAAAUUCUUAAAUGGUAAAAAAGUAAUAUUGUAACAACUAAAAAAGAGACAAGAAUUUUAGGUCAUUUACCAUAAUUUUUCGAGUUUUUUUUUCAAAAUUUUCAAGUUUUAUUUCAAUUCUUGGAGCUUGUUAAGAUUUGAGACUAAUCUCGGGCCUUAAUGAGUCGAGUCAAGUUUGGAAAUGCAUACUGACAGGUUAAGUUGAGCUACAUAAUUUUCUAUUCAUUCGACUUGAGUUCGAAUUUGAGUAGAUUUAUGUUGCAUCAGAAUUCGAGUUUGAACAUAGCACUAUUCGAACUUGACUCGACUCAUUAAUACCUCUAUACAUUAAUUUGUCUAUGCAAGUAUCCAUACAAUUCCUACAUCAUUAUAAUAAAUUUCCAACGUUUGAAUGGUAGGUUUUGGCCUAAUAUGUGCCUUUGCACAUUUUUGGAGUCUAAGGUCAACUCCUGUCGAUUCAAACUUGCAAGUAAUCUAUCUAUAAGCAUAGAAAUACUGUAGUAAGUAUUAUCCAUAAAAUUUGUCAAAUUUCUUUUAUGAAAUUGCCACAAAUUAUUGACCUGGACAAAAUUUGAGAAAGAAAUAUCGACCUAAUAUAAUUAAAACUCAAAUUGACAUCUCAAAAAUAAAAUAUUUCAUGCACAAAUUCCACUUACCAAGGUUGUUUUAUCUCUUAAUAUUCAGGUAAAGUUUGUCUGAGAUGCAAAGGCUGUAAAGGGAAGAAAAUCAAGCAAAUGUCCAUGUCUGCAUUUCCUUCCCAUUCUUGAAGUCGACAGCGGAUCUUUUUUUUUUCCUUUUGGUAAUAGAUAUUAGGUUUCCAAACCUCUCGGGCUACGACUUUUCUUGAGGGCUUAUCAAACGAGCUCAAGUAAGUCUUUGCUUAAUAUUCCACCCAGUUGCGAAGUGACGAUGCUUGCAAGUUCCGUAGGACCACGUCUGUCUAAAUUGUAGUGAAUCCACAAUUGUUGGGUAUUUAUUCUUUUUUGGCGUUCUAGGGGUGGGUGUGGGUCGGGUACCUAUCCCGUCCACCAUUUGAUUGAUCCGACCCGUACCUUACAGGUCAGCUAUUUUGUGAUUCUUACUCACCCCGCAUAUUAGCAGGUAUCCAAUUAUAAAGUAUCCGCUGAAAUAGAGUCGGGUCAACCGGUACCCGAUCCGCCCCACUUAUCAUUUAAUUUUUAAAUAAAAAUUAUUUAUACUAAUUUAAUUUUAUAUUUUACACAUUCAUCUAAGAUUUAAUAAAGAUUUCUUUCUCAAAAAAUGUUUCCCACAAAGAAACAAGCAUAUGAAAAGAAUACAAGAUAAAGGAAAAAAAUUAAAAGAAUUCAAAAUCAAUAAAAGUUUGAAAUAAGUUGCACAUUUUUUUAAAUAUAUGUUCCACAUUAAUUAAACUCUUUUUUAUAAAACAUAAGAUCAUGACCUCUACAAAUGAAUCUUGUAAAUAAAUUAUAGUCUCUCAUAUUUGUAAUUCAAUUUGUUCAAUGAAAUUACUUAUUUAGUUCUAAAUUAUUAUUUUAUAGUAUGUAUAUAAAAUAAAAAAUAAAAAAUAUAUAUAUGCCUGGCGGGUCGAGUACUUGUGGAUUUUUAAUUAUGUGACCCUAACUCGCCCCGCAUCUUAGCAGGUACCUGACCUUAGUUUGACCCGAUCAAAUAAUACAAAUCAAGUAUCCUAAUUUUCGGAAUGGGUCGGAUCGGAUAUGACGGGUUUUCGAGUUAGCGGAUAAUUUUGCCCACCUUUAUCCUUGACAAUGAUGCGAUUGGAAAGCAAAUAAUUUGCAGAUUUUUUCUUAUUAAUCCCUAAACAAGAUUUCUUUACUACUACUUUAUCUUUCUAAAUACUUUUGUAUCUUACAAGCAUCAAAUUACAAAAAUUGUUAUGAUAAAUAAUAAAAAAAUUCAAUUAAUCACUUAGAAGUUUGUAAACUACCUUAUUACUAAUAAAACUAUUGGAAAUAAAAUUACAACUUAAUGUCAUAAAUGUUUCUUUUACUCCCCUACUCCCACUUUGAUAAUUUUGUUUUCCUUUUUCAUUUGUUCCAAAUUAUAAUCCACCUUUCAAUUAAAGAAUAUAGUUAACUUUUAACUUCUUUAAAAUACCCUUAUUUAAUAUACAUUGUUAUCAGUAAAUAUAGCCUAACUUAUUGAAUAUAGUCAAUUUUUCACCAAUAAUUGUUCCGAUGGAUUAAGCGGUUUAUGGAUAAAACUGGUGCACCUUGGAAAGUGGGAGGAAUUUAAUAGCAGUUACCCGAUGUAUUGGAUUGAUAACAACUUAAAGGAUGAUCACAUGGGCUGAUUUGAAGAAUAUAAGUGGCAAAUCAUGUUUCAACUGCUAACUUAUUUAGCAUUGAUGGCAAAGAACCAAUUUUGCUGUACUGGGGAGAGAACAAAAUUGGAGACAAAGAUACAAGCAAUUCAUAGCCAACCAGAGCAAUUACAGAAGGCAGGGGAAAGGCAGCAACGAGAGAACCAGAGGACAUCAAAUACAUUGCCUGACAGAAGCCUCCAGAGGCACGGAUAAAAAUUAAUGUGGAUGGAACUUGUAGUGGAAAUCUGGGAGCAGCGGAUGCAAGCGGAUUAAUUAGAGACCAGUGGGGAAUAUGGAGAGGGGGAUUCCUGGCAAAUGUGGAAACCACGACCAACAUUAGUGCAGAAUUAUGGGCUACACAGCGUGGGCUAAAAUUAGCCUGGAAUAUGGGAUUUAGAAAGGUCGUUUUGGAAACUGAUUCUAAAGCUAGUUUAGAGCUUCUAUCAAAGCUGCCCCCUGACAGUCCACAUCACAACCAGAUAAGGCAAAUACUGAGCUUUGUGGAGCAACAGUGGAAAUGCAGAUUGCAACACCAGUGGAGAGAAGGGAACCAGUGUGUGCUGAUUUCUUAGCAAGGGAGCACCUAUACUCACACCCAGGAGGAAAGUUUCUUGCUGCACCACCAGUCGACAUAGGAGCCUGCUAACUCGAGAUGUGAUGGGCGUUGCUAUGCCUAGACUUGUAUCUGUGUAAUAUGGCCUUAAGCCUCCCAGUAGACCGCAAAAAAAACUACAAAACUAUUAUACUAAAUAAUAGAAAAUUUCAAUUAAUCAAUUAGAAGUUUGUAAACUAUCUUAUUGCUAAUAAAACUUUGAAUAAAUCUUAUACACACCGACAAUGUAUAUACUAUCACUGUUGAAUCUAUGACAUAUAUGCAGAAGUUAAAUUUUAAAUUCAAAUUCUGCAUAGUUGUCAUUCAUCAAAUACUGACAGGAAAAAUUAAUCCUAAAACUUUUGGGAAUAAAGUCACAACUUAAUGUCAUAAAUGUUUCUUUUACAUACUUUAACUUCUUCCCUACAUAUAUAUGUACGGAGAAAUAUAGCUUUGGUCUCCAAUGUUUGGCCUAUGUGUUAAAUUGGUCCCAAUAUUUCCGAUCAAAACAAAUUUAGUUCCUAAAGUUUGUGAUUUAGACAGAUUUAGGGCAAUUACUUGAAAUGGAACAAUGAUUGAUGGCCAAUAUCAAAUUGCCGUUAGUCAACAUUUUGACUUCACACUUUUGGUCCCUAAAGUUUGUGAUUUCAGGCUUUUUUAUUACAGUUAAUGGAAAAUAAUCAUAACUAAUGGUCUCCAAAGUUUGUGAACUGAAUUAAAUAUACAAUAAAUAUGAUCCUAAAUUUCUAUAAAAUUUCAUAAAACACUUUAUAUUGGUACAAUAUAAUUGUAGCCUAAAUAGCAUAUUUUUAUUAAAUAAGCUAUAAUUGGAUGAUGUUAUACCAAUAAUAAAUAAAAUAUAAAGUAGUGGAAGAAAAAGAGAAUUCUAGUUUUAUAAUUUAAGUUUAUUAGAGUUAUUACUACAAAAAUUGUUACAUGUCUUGUGCACAUAGACUUCAAAUUCUUGUAAUUAUAAAACCAAGUGAUAGUAAGUUUCAAUGUGGAGUAAUUUUAGGAAUUCUUAAGAAAACUAUCUUUUAUAUUUUGUUCUCUUUCCUAUCAAUUAAAAGCUAAUGUCCUUAAAGCAUUUAAUUUAAUAUCUAUGUAUCGUGGUAAUCAUUACUUGUUUUGCCCAAAAAUAAUAUAUAUAUAUAUAUAUAUGUGUGUGUGUGUAGUUCUUUCUUCAACGAAAAUGAUAGUGUAAUUUACUAUAAUGAUGAUCUUUAGACUCAAGCGAUUACCACUAAAACUAUUUCCUUCAACUGGCAUUGAAUGAUUGUUGCAACAACCAUUGCUUAACUACUAGUUAUAACUUGUAUAAAGCUCAAGCUGUUACAUUCUUGAUACAUGAUGCAAUUGCUUAUAGUAUUGCCCGUGGAGUAAGCAAUAGCUAAGAUACCAAUAAUCAAAGGAAGAAUUUCAUGAGCUGAUUUAGGGAAUUCACCAAAUAUACUUCUUGUUUAGGCUCUUUGUUUGAACCACCCACCAUGUUACUAUGACAAUCCUCCUACAAAUUGAGCAUGAAAGAAAAUCAUGUUUUCAUCUCUACCAAAGCUCUAUUAGUAAAAUCUUAUUUUAAAAAAUAGAAAAAAGCUAGGAAUCUAUAAGGAAUGUUAACGUACACAUAACACAUGAAUCAAUCCUUGCCAGCCUUUCACAGUCUCACUAUAACUUUAAUCCUAAGGUAAUUAAAUUUCAUACUAGAAAUUCAAGAACUGAAGAUGAUUUUUUUUUUUUUUUGUCCUUUUUGGAUCAGAAAUCAUCAUCUUCGUGAUCCUCCAGCUUCCAAGAUCCAUCCGACUGUUGAACCAUGCCUUUAUUUUGAAUACACCACCAAGAAACCGGUACACAAUGUUCAUCCUUUAAUGCAUCCAUAUGCUUGUUAACAAGUGCAACAUCACGAUUCGCCACCAGCUUGAAUCCUCCUUGAAGCCCUUGUGUUCCCGCAAUUCCAUGCAUGUAGCACUCUAGACUAUGCCAAGAUGACAAGUUUCCAGGACUUUUCAGGUACUUUGAUUUCGUUGUGUCAAUUCCCAACUGUUCACCAACAUCGGCAUAACCUAGCAAUGGAUAAUUUGGAACAACAUCUAGAGAAUUACGAAUACGUAGUACUUUAAGAUUUUGUUGCUGAGAGAACACCUUUUCGAAGCCCUGAUCCCCAACUCGAGGGCUCGCGUAUACGAAGGCUGUGACAGGACAAGCCUUGCCUGGAUUUUGUACAGAUUUGUUGAAUCCGUUAGCAACUAUGUCCACUGCGUUUAGUGUCGCCACCGCGGCACCCAAGCUGUGACCUGUUACAGUUAUACUAAUUUCCUCACCUUUGAAUUCCUCCACCAACCUCCUGAUCUCGUCCAGAACCUUAAACAUAUACACCACAGGAGCAAAAAAUUAAACUUAGUACCCAAAAUAAAAACUGGAAAUGGUUACCAAAAACAGGCCUAAUUAAGAAAAAUACAAUGAUGGGGUAGUUUCAAAUUUUACCUGGUCUCUAGCACUGAUCUUGUUGAAAGGUGAUCUUGAAUCAUCUGUAGUGUAGAUGGAGUACCAACCUUGGUGCACCUUAGGAUCAUCAUCAUUUUCUGUGAAAAUCUUAGGUGCUGAGACUAACACAAAUUCAAGAUCAUUAACCCAUUCCAAACUCCUAACUGUUCCUCUCCAAGCAAUCACAAUAUCCCUUCUUCCUAAUGCAACCUUUCCUUCAUCUGUCGCCACAGCGACGUAACCCAUCCAAUUCGAUUCCUUGCUCCAUGCCUCUCUUGAGAACGAUUUUACGAUAAAAGCAUCAGGAAGUUGGAUAGAUGAUGUCGCGUACAAGUAUUUUGUCACACGAUACUUGAAGGGAUUGCCAUUCUGAAGGCCAACCUUAGCGAAAAGAUCUUUCUUUGCAUAGAGGCAACUUCCUGCAUACCUUGAUGCCUUCUCUGCAUUGAAGGAAUCGUAAGUUGCUUGAGCCAUUUCUCCAUAGUGAAUGAUGUAUCGACGAAGAUCGUAAUCCAGGGGAUCCAAUAGACCAUCCCAGUCGUAAUUGCCGCUGAGAACUUUCCAUCUUUUGGCUAUGCUAUCCAUCUUUUUAUCUAUGGUAUUGGAAUCUAUAUUUUGGUCAGUGCUAUCUAUUUUUUUGGGCCUUUUUCUGAAACAAUUCUUAAAAUUCCCCAUAACUAAUCUAUUCAAGUUUUUAUUUUGUACUUCUUGCUCUUCAGGAUGAGCUCACCAUAUAUAUAUAUAUAUAUAUAUAUAUAUAUAUAUAUAUAUAUAUACACACGCGAGGUUGCUUCCGACAUUCCCCAACCCCACGUAUACGCCAUGUAUAUAUAUACAUAUUUAUAAACUAAAAAAACUAGCAACUGUUGAUCAAUCUCAUUCCUCUAACUUUGUAUAAUCAACAAGUUGGAUUUGUUGAUAAACUUGAAGAAUUAUAGUCAAAUCAACUAUAAUGUUAUUGAAUUCGUAAAAUCAAUUCUGGAGCAAAUUCUGCUAAAUACUUGUUUGUUUAACCUUUGAAUCGGGGAACUUGAUUAUGACCUUAAAGUUUAGCCCAAAUUUAUACAAGAGUGUUGCUUUUUUUAACUUAAUAUUGUACAAGACGUGUAAUAAAUUGAGUUUAAAAAAAAACAUGAGACAUUUUUCUAAACUAAAGCCGCCAACUGAAUUUGCAUUUAAGAGUAAGAAAAAAUGAAUGCACGAAAUGGCCAAGUUUGACACGUGGACAGUUAAGUAUUUUAUCCCCUUGCCUAUCUCAUUUAAUCAUGACAUGUAAUUACCUUAAUUCCUCAAAUUCUCUUUAGAGUAAAUUACAAAUAAGCCUCCUAUAGUUUUAUCUAUUAUCACAUGAUCCCCUACCGUUUCAAAAUAUCUGCUUCAUCCUUUUAUGGUUUCAUGUAAGAUGAAAACUUGACGGAAAAUAAUCUAUAUAAUGUCAUUAGUUGAAAUACCAGUAGUACCCUUAAUUAAAUGUUAAAUCAAAUGAUAAUUUAAUCACCUUAUAUAAAAUCACAAGAGAAUUAUAUGGAUAAAUGCAAAAAUUGCAGGAUUUAAUGUGGAUAUUUAUGUAAAUAUAAGGGUGUUAAAUAGAUAUUAUGAUUUAAUUACACGCAAUUCUAUAGUGCGUCUCGUCUAAUCUCCGUAACUGAUUAUAUAUUCCAUCCAUUUUUUACUUUAUAUAAAACCAAAUGGGGGUUGUAUGACUAUUUUGAAAUCUUAAGGAGAUCAUCUAUCAUUAUGUAAAGUCAUGUGAGGGGUUAUAUGUACUUUAACCUACUUUUUAAUUUAAUGCCCCUUUAGGGGAAACUUAUGUUUUUACUAUAAAAGAAUUUUAUCCUUUGCACAUUCUACACGUAACCUUGGAGCAUCAUUCAUGUUACAGAUUGUCAUAUAAUAAGUUUUUUUUUUUAAUUAUGCUACAUAAUAAGUUGAAAAACCUCAAACCUCUGUUCUUAGUAAUUGGACAAUUACAUGUGUAACGAUUCAUAAUCUUGUAUCCCUCAAUAACUUCUUUAAUCUACCAAACGCUUGUUUUUUAACCCAUGACUAGAGAAACUUCAUCUUGAAGUUUAUCCCAAAUAUGCACAAUAAUAUUGCUUUAUUACUUAUUAUAGUUUGAAUGACUAAGAUAUAUAGCUUGAUAUAUAACUAAUAAGAGAUGCUUCUCAUGACUAAAGCCGCCCACUCAAUUUGCAUCUAUUUUCAUUUAUGUUGAGAGAGAUAUAAUGAGAGCACGGAAUUGUCAAAUUUGACAUGCAGAGACUUGUCAGGUAUUUUAGCCCAUGGCCAAUCUGUUUAACACUUUAAUUAUGACAUCUCACAAACUUAACUCCUCAAAUACUUUUCCAAUUAAGACUUUUCUUCACUGGGAAACCCAUGUUAUUACUAGCAAAUGAUAAGUAUAACUUGAAUAUAUGGAUAUGCUAAUAUGUUCAAAUAACACUUUUACUUUGGAGAAUCCUUCAAGUUUCAAAUUUUAUUUGAUAAGUUAAAAAGAUUUCUUGGAUUUAUUCUUGACUAGGACAUCCUUAUGAGUAAAGAAAUGAUUCAUUCUCAUGUUCCCCUCAAUCACUUCACCAUUCUUAGCCACUUCAACCACACAUUUUUAUUAAUUUUUACCAUGCAAUUUGACGAUCAUAGUCGUGUACAAAAUGCAUUGGAACAAUUGCUUUCUUAUACCACGUCACCAAUUUGUCCAUGCAAGUAACCAUACAAUUCCUACGUCAUUAUUUCAUUUUGGCAAGUUUCCAAGAUUUGAAUGGUGUGGCUUUGGCCGACCAUGUCCGUUCACAUAUUCUUGGAGUCUAAGGUCAACUUCUGUUGAUUCAAACUCGCAAGUAAUCCCAAUUAUCAACACUAUCUAUACCAUAGAAGUACUGUAGUAAGUACUAUCAAUAAAAUUUGUCAAAUUUCUUUCAUGAAAUUGCCACAAAUAAUUGGCCUGGACAAAAUUUGAGAAAGAAAUAUCGGCCUAAUAGAAUUAAAACUCAAUUUGACAUCUUGAGAAUAGAAUAUUUCAUGCACAAAUUCCAACUUAAUUGCCAAGGUUGUAGUUUAUCUCUUAAUUUUCAGGUGAAGGUUUUUCUGGGAUACAAUGGCCAUAAAGGGAAGAAAUAGAGCAAAUGUCAGUGCCCGCAUUUCCCUCCACUCUUGAUGUUGAUAUCGGAUUUUUUUUCUUUAUUGGGGUUAUAGAUAUUAGGUUUCAAAAUCGUUCAAAAAUAAUCCAUCUAAGGCUUUUCUUGAGGACUUAUCAAACGAGAGCUCAAGUUAGAAAGUCUUUGCUUUGAAGUCGACCCAUCUGCAAGGUGACGAUGCUUGCAAGUUUCACAGGAACACGUCUGUCGAAAUUGUAGGAAUGAUAAUUCGAAUGUCCAUUUCUUGGUAACUCCACUUAAUUCCGUUAAUAGAUCCACAAACUUUAGUUAUACUAAGAUGCAGCAUGAUAAAAGAAAGUAUGUUCCCUUAAGCUAAGUGCAAUGUCUUUGAAUUGCCCUAGCUAAAUACUCCCUUCAUCUCAUUCAAAUUAUCAUACUUUUCAUUUUGAGAUGUACUAAAAUAUAAUGGAUAAAUCUUAUAUACACUGACAGUGUUAUCUAUCAAAAUCAAAAUUACUUUUGAUCUCUUUUUUCAUCGUUAUCCCUAACUUUAUCUAUAUUUCAAAUUUGAAAUUUGAAGUUUCAAAGAUAAAUUUAGAAACAAAUCCACUAACAUCAUCAUCAACCCACUAUUCUUAAAAAGUUGAAAUCCAAAAAUGCAACAAACAAUUUGGGACGGAGGGAGUAACUUGAUUAAUUGUAUUGUCUUUGUACUAUUUGUUGUUGUAAAUGUAUUAAUGAUAUUGGAUCUUGUAACACAAAUGGUACUAUUUUUUCUAGUCUGUCCUAAUUACUUUAUCACGCACACUUUCUAUUUUGGCACAUCACAUACUGUAGAACUCAAAAAUUACACGCAUAAGUAUAGGAGGUCACAAAUUUCAUAAGAAUCAUGUAUGGAGAGGCAAUUAAAUAAAUCAACAAUAUAAUAUCCAUUAUAUAUCAAACUUUCACACUUCUCAAUUAAAAAUAAUAAUAAAGCUCUCUAUUUAUAAACUAGAUGACAUGAUAAACAAGUUUUAACAGCCACAAUAAAUUACUUAAUAAAUUACCAAUUCCUAAAUAAUAAACUACUAUAUUUGACUUCAAUAAACUACUAAAAACUUAAUUUGAGUAAAAUACUAGUAUUAAAUAAUAACGUAGAGAUUUCUAUUUUUAGACUUGAUUUAACAUGCCAACGCAUACCUCAUGUUACCAUUCCAAUAGAGUUAAUGAUAUAAUCUACAUAUAGUAAAUUUGGUACUUUUCAGAAACUUUAACCAAUAAAAUUUGUCUUUCUAUUUUAUCUGCUAGGCUAAUUCAAGUACGGCAAAGUUCAUUUGGUUAAAAGUCCACUAAUAGUUUUCCAAUUUAAAUUCCAGAGUUCCGGGAUGAAUUGAUCUCCAAACAAGUACUUCGCACGCUUGAAGAAGUGGUCUUUGACAAGUCGGACAAUGAACUUGGUCCCUUCAAGAGUGAAAAGUAGAACCCCCCGGGCCCCCAAAAAAUAUGGUCUCGUUUGGCAGACAAGUUUUUUACCAAAUUUAUCUGUUACAAGUUUUUUUAAAAAUUUUAGCCACAGUAAAUUCAAAAAACUUCUCAAAAUUUUUAAAUUAUACACUUCAAAAUAUUUAAAAAAAACACACUUCAAAAAUUUUUUUAAAAACUUCUAUAGUAAGCUACCGUAAAAUUUUAGAUAAACACAAAAAAAACUCAUUUACCAAAUGGGAUCAUAGUUUCUUUCACAGUUUAUUGAUAUAUUCGUAAUUACCUCCUCUUCUUUUUUUUUUUUAGGUGAGGUGAUUACACACGUUAGUAUUUGAAUCUUUCGUUGGAACUGUGUGCUGCACUUCAAUCUGCCCUGUUAAAUGCACCUCAUAGGGUUGUAAAAAUAUGAUAGGACAUUAAUAAUACCUGCCUAUGUAUAUGAAUUGUAAUACUAUUUACACCACCAACUGUGCUUUUGAUGGAGCAAGUAGGACUGGGUAUUGUUGAGGCACUAAAUUUCCAUCAUACCAAACAGACAAAGUCUAUUGGAGAAAUGGACACCCUGCCCUAGCUGCACCUAAAGAAGUAUACAUGUUUGCACAUCGCUCAACAAAGUAGCCCCCCAUGCAUUCAUGGUUCACCAAACAGGACCCAAGACAAUCUGGGCUACAGAUGACAACGAAUCGAAUGUUUGGCAAUCUAGGACUGCCUAGAGGCCCAUCUGUAAAUCAUUUGUCCAGAGAGUUUGGACCCAGAUCAUCUUCUAUCCCUUUUUGGGGAAAGCACCCAGCACUGGCAGCCAGGUGUUGGAGUAAAUCAGUAAUGUUCCAGUUAUGAGUUCCUAUCGCACAGUUUUCAAACUCUUUCCAGGUGAUAGCUUGAAUACAGGACAUGACAUGACAUGAGAUUUUAUUACAUAUAUUCUAAUGAUUAAUGUGCAUGAUCAAUAAUUUUGGAACAACUACAAUGCAUCAAAUAACCACUGGGCCUUUGGCCGGUGGCCACCACCUACUUGGUGAGGGUGGGAGGCAAGGAUUCGAACCUUAUCUCUCGAAAUCUUGCCUUCCACCAAAAAUAUCACAUUUCUGUGAAUUGUUUUCAAAAAAUUCAAGUGAGUGUGCUGUGCAUCCGUCUGAGCCGGUGAUAGUUCAGUCCCCUUCAAUUUAUUCUUGGUCCUCUUUAAACCCGCCCCCUUUCCCUUAGCGUAGGAUAGAUUAGAUUUAUCGUCUCCGGUAUAAAAAAAAAAUACAAUGCAUCAAAUGCUUCAUAGUCUCGCCAAAAGGAAUGUAAAAGGAAUAACAUGAAUGUAUCUCACAUAUGUCAUGUCCGGAGCCGCAUUCUGUUGAGGGCGCCUCAACUUUAGUCGUUAUUAACAAUACAAGUAAAAAUUCUUCCCUUCUCUUACAACUGUGCCCCUUCAACUUUUUCAGAUUUUCACUUUUCGAUCACAUUACCUCCUCUUAAACGUUAAAAUAUGCUUAAAUUGCCCCUUGCUAAGAUUAUUCGAAGUACCAAAGCAUGUUACCUAAUUGAAGGAAAAAUGUGAAACAAUUAUGGAGGCAACUGCAUAACAUUAGUUUAAAGAUCAAUAACAUAUUUUUCUUCGUAACGAAGUGCAUUACAACUUCUCACAUCCUUUUUGUUCUCAACUACCAGAUUCAAAAUUUGAUCUUUAAACCUAACAACGAGGAGAGCUCCACUGGGCUAACAACGUUAGUGAUUUUGGAUGUAUUACAACUAUGAUUUUUGUACGCAUCAAAUUUUACACGUAUAACUUUAAUUACUAUUGCGUGCGUCUACUCAUCACGGGAACUUGCCUGCACUUAGCCUUGUCUUUAUAUUGAUGAGAAUACAUAUUUUAGAGCACGGAUGGAUGACCCUGCAAUUCUCGCUAACCAAUGCAACAGACACAAACAUCAAGAAGACAAAUAUUGUAGAUAUAAUUAACAGUUAACGUUCAAAAUUGCACGAAAGGUUUUUGAAUAUUGCUUUCUUAAUGUAUAAAUUUGUUGUUUUGGUACCUACACACGUGAAGUUAGAGCUGACGUUUUCUUUACACAAAUUGUAGCUAACAAUUGCAAAACUCUACAUCCGCAGACCAUGCACAUUUAAUGGUCGAUGGGUAAUUGCAGACUCUUAAGGGGGAGAUGGGUCGGGGUUGGAACAGGUACUUUCUGACUCUUAGUCCGGAUUUCAUUUCUUUUCUCCGCUUUUUUUUUUUUCCUUCCAAUUCAAUCAACAUAUGCUCAUUAAAAAAAAAAUUUUCUUGAACUUGUGGAAAUUAAUGGCAUUUGCCAACGCCAGCAAUCCAGCCGGGAGCUCCGUGAAUCCGGCCAACGCGGCCGGCGGUCGUGAGCAGAAUAGCUUUCUUGAUGUUGAUUUAAUCGUCUUCCUGAGCCUGGCAAACUGAAAAUAUGAUCACUACUGUUAUCGCCUACUUCAUUUUAUGCAUUUAUACGUCGCGCCACAAAGGAAGAUGAUCGGUCAUCACCCCCCCGAGAAUCCAUGCAAAAUCUUCACGGGAAUUAGAUCACCUUCAAUUUGGCCAUAGCUACCAUGUAAAAACAGUAGUACAUGCAUGAGCCCCUUGGUCGGUGUCCUUAUGAAAACAUUCAUUGAUUCACAAAAUCAAUCCAUCUCCAUUUUUUGACAAGCCAUAAAUAGCUCAAAGAGUUCAAAUUGAAGUCACUACAGAUAUAAACUAGUAGCAUGCUUGUUUCACAUGUAUGAUGUAUCCCUCGGUGGCCUCUGGCUAUUUUGAGCAUGACUUUGUUCAUGAAGUUACUUAUUAGCCUAAUGUAUAUUGGAUAAGACGUUUUAGACUAAGACUAGUACUGGAAUUGUAGAUUGUCAUCGGCCAACUCAGACUUCUGCUUCCUGAAAAUAGUUGUUGCUUUGUUUUGAUUAUAAAAGGGAAAACGUGUUGUGGUUUAUUAAAGUAUGCCCUGAAGAAAACAAAAGAAAAAAAUGAAGUAUAGAUCAAAAUAUUCAGGAUAACGAAUUCUUGUAGCCUCUUAUUUUUAUAUCUUGAAACAUUUAUGCAUGGGCAUACCAAAUUAUAUUUAAGAAAGACAACAUGUAAAAUAAUUCCAAACAAGUAUACUCCAAAACACGACUAUCGAUACUCCUAGAGAGGUAAUAAUAAUACACUAUUGUUUAUCUAUCUUUUCCUUUUAUUUCACUGUGAUCUGGAUAGGGAAAAGAAUUGUAUCAUUUGCUUGAGGAUUAAUUGUACCCUGAAACCAUAUGGGGUAAACGUAGAGGAAGAACUGAAGUUUGAGAAAUUCGAUGUGAUUGGUCAGAGCCAGAAAUUUUGCUUGGGGGAGGGGCAAAUAAUAGAGGAUGUAGAAAUUCAAAAUAAUGAAGCAAAGAAAGUAUCUCAAAUUACAUUCCAAAUUCAAAGUACCUUAACUAGCAUUUAAUACUAGGACAAAUCUUAAACAAAACAGUCAAAAUCAAACUCUCUAUCAUUUUUUUCUUUAGCAAUUCGAGUUUUAAGCGAUGAAAAUAUUAUUUUAUUAUCACUCACUACGUAGAAAAUUAUGAGUGGUUAUACUUUUUUGCAAAAAAAAUAGAAUUCAAAGAAAUUAAAUUUGAUUUGAUACUAAAGUAUAAUAAUAUAGAAAAAAUCACAUAUUACCAUAUUGCAUUAAAGUUAGAUGUUAAGAAUAAUAAUCUCCACUUAAGAAUAAUUCUUUAAAUAAAGAAUAAUUAAAGAUUGAAAAUAUAAUAGAGCAAUAUCUCUAGAGUAUUGAAAAAUUAGCAAUAGUAUUUGCCUCAGAGUAUUUGGAAUUGGAGUUUAGAGAUUGAUAGAUAAGUUCAAGAUAAGAAACUUUCACUUUUCAUGUUUGUGACAGUGGCGUAUUGACUUUAUAUGUUGAUUUUAUUUUCAUUUUCAUUUUUUACUUCUAUUUUAAUUGGUAUUUCAGUUGAGUCUACUUAGGAUUUGAUCGAUACUUUUAAUUUAUUUAAGAAUUAGAGGUUGUUAUCUUAUGUGAAAGUUAUGUAGAGAAAGGAUGUGAAAGUUAAUAUUAAUUAUUUUGGAGGAGCAAAAUUGGAGAAUUUUAUUAAAUUGUUAGCAAUAAAUAUAUACCAAAAUAGGAUUCACCAAAAAUUUUGUUCCCCUCGUGGUGGACCAUGAUGUUACUUCCAUACAUAUAGAAAGCUGAGUUUUAUGCAAAGAUCACAGAUUGUAUGAUAGUGAAAACACGUAAUCGCCAAUAUUAACUCUGUAUCCCAUACAUAACUCUCAAAAAAAUUUGUUGAUUUGAUGAGUCAUGAAGCCUUUGCCAACCACAUACUACUGGGAUGAUUUUGCCCAACUGUUUUGUAUAUUUGACAGAUACAGUUCUGCUAUUUGGUCACUUUCUCCAUAAUAAUAAGAAUAAGCAAUGUUGUUGUUAUACUUAGACAUUCAAUUCUUGGACCAACAAAAGGAAAUCGCCGACCUUCUGCUCAUUGCUUACUCGUGUGCUUCAUUGGCUAAAUCUGCAUGUAUAGGUUGGCUAAACUAGUUUUUCUUGGGUCCCUAUUUGGUUUGCAUUUGCUAUAGAGGUAUUCAAUAUAAACAUAUUUGGAAUGGCCCUUGAUAUGAAGUAAGAUAUAUUGCAUUAGUUACUCCCUUGUAGUCUUGUGCCAUGUCGUGUAACUCACAAUACCAUUUUUUUUUCAACAAACGAUAAUAUCUUUAUAUAUAUUAACACUUGAUAAUACAAGGAUUAAUUGCAAAAGGGGGCAACAGCCCCUUCAUCUAUUCUAUUUGCGUCUAUCAACCAACUUGAGAAGUCAUUUACCCAAUCUAUGUCAUUAACUAGCUUUGAUGCAAAAAGUGCUAGCCUAUGACUUGCUAUAUUAGAUGCUCUAGGCACCCAAGAUAUUGUGCAGUAAUCAAAAUAAUUUCUACUAAAAUUUUUUUUUAAAAAAAGAAGAACAAUCUAGACACUGAAAAAUGAUGUAGUUUACCUGCUUGAAGCUUGAGUUAUAUAGUCCAUUAAUGAUCUUUAAGGUGGUAUAUGAGAAAGAACGAGUAUGUAUAUCAUAAGAAUUUAUUUUUUUUUGCUCAAGUCUCUGGUUUCUUUUUGAAAUAUUAAUUGUUAUCAUGUCAAACCAUCUUGCCCUUUAAGAAUAUUCUAUUCCACAUAUGGUAGAGCCAGUGAGUAGAAGAGAUAAUAUGUGUACAACUACUAAUUUGUGACAAUAUAGAUUUGCUAUCAACUUCAGAUUGUAAAUUGCAAUAAUACAGCCAUAUUCCAACAUAUAUCAAGAUGACCAAGGCACCUAAGGUGUUGAAUAUUUAUCCUCAUCAUUGUCCAAGAAUGACAGGUCUAAACUGACUAAAAUGCUGAAAAUUCUUGUGGAUAAUGACUAGGAAGACUACUCGAUUAUAAUCGCUGGUAUGACUAUAAAAAUUGUUAAAAAUAAUUUUUGAAUCUAAGACUCCGUUUGGAUUGGCUAUAUUUUCAAAAAACAAAAUUUUCAAAUACAAUGUUACAGUAAUAUACAAUAACUCAAAAACUAUCUCAUCCAUAUUAGUAUAUCAAAUAUUUUUAAAAAAUUUUAUAGUAAAAAUUUUUCAUAUACACUGCGACAAUAAAAUAUUUCAAAAACACCCCAAAAACUAGCUAAUCCAAACAGAGCCCUUGCUAUUUGAGCCCAACGGGUACCCAAGUAUUUCCCAAAAUUUUUCAUCAAUUAAUGGGUACAAUUGGGAUUUGUUCCAUUUUAAACCCAAUAUCAAAUUUCAGUACCCAUCCCGCCCAAAGUCCGCAACGGAUCUUCUGUCCUACACCAUGUGUCACUCUCUAUCCCACUUUUUAUUAUAUUGUUAUUUCUCCCACAUAAACAUCAUGUUUUAAUUCUUUUUUGCUUCCUUAAAAUCCAAUAACUAUUAAUUAAGUAAAAAAUAAAUACAACAGCUUCAAAAAAGUAAUAUAUAAUAGAAAAUUAAAAAAUACAGUAGAAAAUUCAUAAAAAAUCUCAUUUUUUAUGCAUUUUGAUUUUUUGAGUUUGUUAAAUAUUGUGUAUUACUCAAUUAAUAGUUAUUGGAUCUUAAGGAAGCAAAAAAGAAUUAAAACAUGAUGUUUAUGUAAGAGAAAUAGCAAUAUAAUAAAAAGUGGGACAGAGAGUGGCACAAGAUGUAGGACAGAAGAUCCGUUGCGCCCAAAGUCCCUAUGAGCAUGGGUAACCCAUUGGGACUUGGAACAAAUUGCAUGUCACAUAUUCAAAAGGCCAAAAAGGAUUUACAAAUAGGAAGUUACAAAAAUCAAAGCCAAAUGUUGCCAGCAGAAGAAUAAAUCAUCAAUGCAAGUCCAUGCAGGCAAGUAGUUCCUAAAUGCAUUUAAUCAUCAAUCACCCUUGGUUGGCUACGUUACCGGCAUCCUUCGUGAAGCCAUCCACGAUCGGACAAUUUUGGGGAUGCGGGCAAUUUAAGGACCACUUUCAUUUAUUAGUUCGUUCCCAGCUCUUCUCUGUCACAUUCCUUUCUUGCUUUUCGGACGCUAGCUGCUCAAAUCUUUCAUUGCUUUAGCAUUUUCUGCCUCGCCUUUUGAGAUGAUGAUUCAGGCUGCAUUUGAUUCUUUCUUUGCAGAAUCAAAUUCAUUUGCAGAAACCUAAUGUUCGGUUAGUUCUUGAACUCAAUUUGUUUGACAGAAAACGUCAAAAUUUUUACAUGUUUUGCACCGGUAAAAACUAGGCAAAGAAAGUUGGUUUUACAAUUCUUAUUAAAAGGGGUGUUACAACGGUAAAAGAUAGGUAAGAAUAUUAAUCUUCUAAUUCUUAUUGAGAAGGGAGUUGUAGCGUAGUGAGGCUAAAUUGCAGCUUUUUGUUGGGUCAAUGGAGAUUUUAAACUUUAAAUGGAUGAAGAAGGGAAAUGUUAGACUUUAAAAGUCGAACUAAAAAUCUCAUGUUGUUAAAUUAAUGUCUCUAUCAACAAAGGUAAGACCACAUAAAAUUAUAAUUUGCGAUAAUUAUUUGAGGAAGUUCAUAUGCUAAUAAAGUAUUAUUAUCUACCAAUUUGUGUAAAUUUCGGUAGAAGUAGAAUUAGUAUGCCAUUGACUAAAUUAAAUUCACUCUGACGUAUUAAGAAAUUGCUAAUAUCUUAGUUUGUGUAUACAUACAAUUACUUCUAAUCUACUUUAACGUUGAUACGCCGAACACCAUCAUCAGAAUUUAGAGGACUUAUAUUUAAUGUUAUAGUUAUCAUGUCAGAAACCUCCCUCGAAUUUCUGACAAUUUUAAUUAUUGCCCUUAAAUUUUCAAUAUUACACCUGACUCUCCUAUUUCCAAUUAAUAUUGGAGUAACAAAAAUAGCAGAUUACAACACAGAUUUAGUCCUAAUUACUAUUGGUAUGUUAAGCACUGAGUGUAUCUUCAAAUAAAGUGCACUAGAAUAAGCCAUCUCUACACAUAUUGCAUUAAGGAAAUCAAUUUUAGUAAAAUAAAAUCUCAUGUAACUGUGUACCAAAGGCCAGCUUUCAAAUGGAGCUAUAAGAACGUAGGGCAGGAACGGUUGAAAAUUGAUUUAAAAAAAAAAAAACUGUAAUGCUCCAAUCAUUGUAUGUACAAUGAUUUUAACAUUGCAUAUGAGGUCCAUAAAAAAUUAUUUUAUAUUUACUUUGUAUUUAUACUCUGAAGAAAUAAAUAUACAUCUUGUGCAAUGGACAAAAUCAGCAGAAACAAUUGAUCUACCAACUGUUUGUGCCCUAAUGUCCAGCUUCCAGAUGGGGUGACCAAAAAGGUGAAAGGCACUGGCCCAAAAUAUAUUAGAAAAAGAACACUAAAUUGAGCAAGGAGUUCAGAUAUUCAUACAUCAAUUUCAGCACAGGGCCCUCUUGUUCUCUCUUUUUGGUAUUCAACUCUUUUCUCCAAUUCCAAAACAACUGUGAAUAAAAUAAGACAAAUCACUCAGUAAGAAGAGGGGUGGGGUGGGAUUGCCUCAAGAGUUGCCGGGUUUUGAGGUUAAUUCUGGAUUAGGUUUAUAAAACAACAAAAGUCUGAUUCAGGCUGUUGAAAAAAGAGGGGUGGGGUGAGCUAAGUUGGUUGUUUGUCACCAUUUGACAGGCUCAGCAUAAUGCAGUGAAAGUGAUGUAUCAGCCCUAUCAAAAUUCAAAACAAAAUCUCUUCAUCCCUUCCAUUAGUGCUUUGCAUGUUCCAUUCAACUGCCUCACCUAAAUAGUUGGCCAUGCAAACAUUUCCUUUCCUUGUCCUUUUGUCAAGAAAUUAAGGGCUAUAGAAGGUGCUGAUUAUAUCUAAUUGUUUUUAAGUUCACCUGCUGUUCGCUUUUAAGCUAACUAAUGUUUGAAUCAUAAUCGAAGCUCAUAAUGAUCUUCUUUUUUUUUUGUUGCUUGUAAUAUGCAAUGAAUAGUUAUUAACUCCUAAAUUUCAUUGUUUCCCACGGAUAUAUACACGCAUACACACGCGCACACACAUUUGGAUUCCCAUGCAUUUACAAUUAAAGAAACGAUUAUGUACUUUAAUGAAGUUAGUACUUCCACCAAAGGGAACUACAAUACUUAAUAACAUUUUUGAAACUAAUGAUAUCAAGAUCAUGGCAUAAAUUUAGCAAAGGCAUUUUCAAUUACACCAAUUACAAUUAUUCUCUCUUUGUUAAUGUGUAGGAAAUAACCUCCAUAAUCUCAGGUAAAUUUAAAUACUGCAAGAAUUGCAAGUGCAGAGGAGUGAUUAAUUUGAACAAUUAGACAUUAAUGCAAAUGGAAGCCAAUUGUCUCUCCUAUGUUGUCUAGGGUAAGUAAUAAACAAAUUUUCAGCUUAAUAAAGGACCAAAAAUUUUAUUCUUUUUUUUUUCUAAAGUCCUUCAAGGGAAAAAAAAUUUCUAUGAUAUUUAUCAAUUUGUUUAGUCUAUAACAUACAUGGACUAGUGAUUUCUCUUCAUUUGCUUUUUAUCCAAAACGACUGUUAAUGGACUCCAAUAGAAUUAUUACUUUUACUAAACAAAGUUUCAAAUACACUUACGGCAUAUAAAUAUAGCUAUUGCUUGUUUAAAGGCAAGAAUUAAUGAGUUUUGUGUCCUGUACUAUGAACUCCUACGUACAUAAGCACAACAUCACUUAAAAUACUGAUCUGGCUUUCCUCUUCUGAACAGUUUUAAAUAGCAACACUCAAAAUACAUAAUCAGCAAUGAUCAAAUCAAGUAAAAUUUUUCAUGGCUGUCAAUGUUAUAAAAAAAGUUGCAAAACAAACAAGUGAAAUACAUACAUGGCAUACAGCUAUGGCUAAUGUUUAUUUAAAUGCAAGAAUUUAUGAAUUUUGUGUCCUGUAAAAUGGACUCAUAACCACAACAUGACAUCAAUUACCCAAUCAUUUUUGCCCUUUUUUGAAAAGUUAUAGGUGUCAAUACUUAAAGUACAUAAUCAGCAAAAUUCAAAUUGAGCAAAAUCAUGGUUAUCAGUGUCUAAAAAAAAUUAAAAAAAUAUAACAAAGGAAAUACCAAAACAAACAGGUGACAUCACUCUUAACAAAUCCGAACAUCACGAUGACUAAGAAAACCUUUAAAUCGAAUUAACCAAUGUCACAAUGGAUCUUUGUUAAAGAUAAAAGUGUAAAACUUGGAAUUUAUUCAACAUUAAGUCAAACCCCCCAAGUCAAAAUUUGGACAUAAAUAAGACCCCCUGAAUUCAAACCAAGUAACCCCCAAAAUUCCACGAAUAUAUGCAAUGUAUCGCGUGAUUUUCAAUUAAGUUAAAAAAAAGCCGACCGUUGGAAACCUCUUUUCACUUUCCUAAUUUUCUACUAUAUCCCAUAUCUGAAAAAUUUCUCACAUUGUACUCCUCCAACUGAUCACCAUAUAUAGCUUUGCACCAGAAGUUCCACUCUCUCAGUCAGCGCGUUACUCUUCUGCAAUGCAGCAUAGCCCAAUCGGCCUAGCCUAGCAACACUCCCUCUCGCUAACGUGAGUGAAAAUUCAGGGUUAUUGCAUCAUUAAUUACUGUAUGUUUUUUUAAGCCUUCGUAGGUUUUGAGUUCAAACAAGACGUGUUUCCUUAUGCUCAACCCAAAAAAAAAAGGUUCUUAAUCAUUGUACAUGUGAUUUUAAAUAGUAACUCAUGUUUAACCUUUUACAAAUUUCUCAAGAACCAUAUGUAUAAUUUAAAUAAUAACUCAUGUUUCAUAUAAUGUGGUACAAAUCAAUUCUAAUCAUAUUUUCAUUCAGUAAAAUUACUAGGUUUUAUCUACUAUUAUUUGCUUUAGGGCUUAAACUAUUCCAAAAUUAAAAGAUCAUAUUAUCUUAAAAACUGUUUGAAAAUUAUGGCAUUAAAUUUUCAUUUUGUAUGAGACCUACCACAGAUACAUGAGAAUCAAUCGAUAUGUAUUGCUUGUAAACUCGAUUGGUUUGUUUAUCAAAUGUGUUCGAUGUUUUUUGUAACCAACUUUUGCAUUUAUGAUUGUCUCUAUUCUACUUAAAUAUCAAUUUAACUAUUGAAUUACAAUUUCUUUUAUUGCUUAAAACCAACUUCUAACUAAUAUUUACAGAUAUGUACAUCCAUAAUAAAGUUGUGUAUGCAUACUCAUCUGGACGCAUACAAAAUAAAAAAAAAAUGUACGCUUUUUUAUUAUUUAUUGCCCAAAACUAAACUCAUUUAUUAAACAAAUGCAAUUGAGUUCAACUCGUAAACAUUCAUGUAAGCUUAUUUAGACUUGUAUAUAGAUUAAUUGGAGUCUAAUACUCCAAUUCAAUAACAUCAAAGUACUUUCAUUGAAGCACAACAAUGAAAAUGUGGAUCAAAUCUAUUAUGUUGAAGAGAAUAUGGAUGAGAUGAGUAUUCUUUUUUCAUAAUGGAGGUGAAGUCUUAUUUUAAUUUCGUUGGUGAUUAAGUAAACUUCUCUAGUCUAGAUAGUUUAAAAUUUAUUUUACAUUUGACAUUUGGGCACCUUCUUAUAUUUGAUAAAAUUUUUCUUGUUUAAUAGAUUUACUAAAAUGAUUAAAUUUGAUGAGUUAUUUUUUUUUAUAGGAUUUUCUACUUAUUCGAGCUUGAUUGAUUUGUGUUAAAUGAGUUGACUUCAAAUUUGAGAUUUUUUUAAAUUAUCGACACAAGCUCAUACACAAUUUUACACUCGUUAUAUAAAUAAGUUAAAUUCAAACCUAAUUUUCAAUAAACCAAACAUCCUCAAACUGCAAAUACUUAGCACAACCUGUUCAUAACUGAAUUGGUAUAUCAUAUAACUGAUCAAGCUUUUAAAUUUCAUAUCUUUAUGAUAGCUUGUGCUCCUAGUUAACGGAUUUUAGUAGCAUAACAGUAACUUUAAAAGUUACAAUCAUUUACAAAACUUCUUCAGUCGUUAUUACUUCUAUUAUUUGAGAUUUUAAAUACUCGCGUAAAUGUCUAAAAAAAUCAUGGUGAAAAUAUCUAAAACAUAAAGAUAAAGAUAACAAGAUAGGAUAACAAGAUAAAGGUAAUGAUUUCAGAAGUAACCAAAAGUAAUCUAUUAUGACUUUCAAAAUUGUGACGUCUAUCACAAUCCUAUUUGGUUCUCUAGCUGAAAAACAGGUGAACUUGAAAGAACACUGGGGCGCGUGAACAAGUUAAAAUCUGAUUCCAGUUUUUAAAACUGCCAAGUCCAUUUUGUUUUUGCCCUUUUCAAACUGGAUCCAAGGAAAGAAGACCGUUCCUCGAUUUUGCUGCCUCAAUUACAUUCACAAAAUCUCUCUUAAAGACUAGGAUUAUAUCCUACACUACAGGCUAGUGCUACAGCCCAGUUUAGUGACUUCAGUCUUCUUCUCUCAGUUUUGACUGACCUCCUGGCUUCCUUCUCCAUCACUACCGCCCCAUCAGAAUAUUACCAUUUACUUCCAAUACCAACCAUUGGCUUCUUCUUCAUACAGCCUUUCAAUCUUCUGGCAAAAGAGAAAGUGACCCAUUUGGAGUUUUAGUCAUGUCUUUAUCUUUCCUUAACUUCAAACCAGAUAGCAUUGGCAAAAAUUGAGAGAUUACCAUUUCACUGAGAGAUAAGGGAAAAGAAAGAGAGGUCUGGGGCUGAUCUGGGCUUCUCAAGAAACAGGCAAACAACAAUGGUUGCUGGAAAAGUGAAAGUCGCCAUGGGAUUACAAAAAUCACCACUCAUAACUCCAAAGCCAAAACCCUCUUCAGAGUCAUCCCCAAAACCAGCAUUUUCCUCAUCAGCCAGUUCUGGAAAGCAACAGCCGUCAAACCAAAAAGGACCUGGUUUUUCGCGUUCAUUUGGAGCUUAUUUCCCCCGCUCGUCCGCCCAAGUCCAGCCUCGCCCGCCAGAUGUGGCCGAGCUCCUUCGAUUAGUGGAAGAGCUAAGGGAAAGGGAGUCCCGGUUGAAAACAGAACUGCUGGAGCAAAAACUCUUGAGAGAGUCUAUCGCCAUUCUCCCGGUUCUGGAAAGUCAAAUCUCUAACAAAGACGUGGAAAUCGAAAAAUCCAAGAGGAAGAUCGAAUGCUUAGAGGAUGAAAACGAAAGAUUACGCCAAGAAGUGGAGGUUUUACACAUGGAAAUUUCUAAGCAAAAUUGUAGAUACGAAGAAAAGAUAAACUGUUUGGAAUCACAAGUUUCAGAGAUGAAGAAGUCCAAUGAAGAACUCGCAACCGCCGUUUCAUCGUCACAAAAACAAGUCGAUUUUCUCAUCAAGUCGAAGAGUUUUAGGAAAAGUUUGAGCAUACAAACAAAUGGUCAAGUGAAUGUUCAAGCUACAGUUGAUAGUAGUAAUAAUGGUGCUUUAAAUUUGAAAUCUGAAUACGAGACAAAAAAGGAGGAUAGCACAUUAGGACUGGUUGAGAACGAAAAACCAAGGCAUGGUCGUCGCAACUCUGAUGAAAUAGUAGAUUCUUCAGAAAAUUUAAUGGGUUUAAAAUCCCGCGCUCCCCGGGUUCCUAAACCGCCUCCACGGCCGUCGUCUUCGCUUCUUUCAUCGUGUUCAUCUUCAUCAUCUGCUUCAUUGCGUUCUUCAUUAUCUUCACCUUCAUACGGGUGGUUAUCUGAUUCAGCAGAACGGGCACUGGCAGAAAUAUCUAAUAUUCCUCCACCGCCGCCACCUCCACCAGCCCCCCCAGCAGCAGCAGCAGUAAAACAAGCAAUAGCUCCACCACCUCCUCCUCCUCCUCCUCCACCGCCGCCUUCACGGCAUUCCAAGGCGGCUCCGCCACCACCUCCUCCCCCUCCUCCGCCAAGAGGGUUGAAGCCUGUGCCGGCUAAGGUGAGGAGGGUGCCCGAGGUGGUGGAGUUUUAUCAUUCCCUGAUGAGAAGGGAUUCGCGGCGGGAUACUGGCUGCGGAGCAGGUGGCGCCGCCGAGGUUCCUGCGGCGGGUGCGACGGCUAAGGAUAUGAUAGGAGAGAUUGAGAACCGGUCUACUCAUUUACUAGCUGUAAGUUUUAUUUUUCUUUUUUCUUUUUUUUCUGAGCCCAAUUAUCUUUGUCUGAGUCUAUUUACUAUUUUGCCACUGGGUUUUGGUCCUUUGAGACCCUCUGUCAUUGAAAGCUGACCAGUCCCUAGUGUCUUUUUGCUUUUGCUAUACCCCUAUCUGCGCUUUUUGUUGGUUUUUCCUUUGUUUUCUAUACAAGAUAAGACAGCCUAUGGAUUCGACAAAUCCAAUUUGGUUUUUAAUGCAAGGGUUGUCAUCUUAAUGCCAGCAUGUGGGCAAUUAUGACAAUUCAAUGCCAAGAACUUCUUCCAAAUCAAAGUUACACUCAAUGCAGAAGAACAACGGUUCUUGAAAAUUUUCGUACUUUGUCUGUUGGUGGGACUUGGCCCCAGAUUUCAUAUUGUUCAUAAAAUUGGCUACCUCAAAUGUGAAAAUUUCAUGUUGUUGUUGCCUACAACUAUACCUAUAUCUUUGCCAAGUAUAUGAGAAUUGUUAGAACAGAUAUGGGGAUUUAACAUUUGUCACUACUACUGUUUGAAAUGUUUAAAUUGUUGCAUCCCAUUUUUAUUGGUUAGUUGUUCAGAUUAUGAUGUGGAUAAAUUUCAGAUUAAGACAGAUGUAGAAACACAAGGAGAUUUUAUCAGGUUCCUAAUCAAAGAAGUUGAGAAUGCUGCAUUUACAGAUAUUGAGGAUGUUGUGCCUUUUGUAAAGUGGCUUGAUGAUGAGCUAUCUUUCCUGGUAACCUUCGUCUUAAUCUACAACAACUAUUUUAUUUUAUUUUAUUUUUUGGUAUCUGCCCACUUAAAAUUGAGGUUCUCAAUUUUCUUCCUUAGGUUGAUGAAAGGGCAGUAUUGAAACACUUCAAUUGGCCUGAGCAGAAGGCAGAUGCAUUAAGAGAAGCUGCAUUUGGGUAUUGUGAUCUGAAAAAGCUCGAAUCUGAGGCGUCUUCAUUUCGUGAUGAUCCUAGACACCCUUGUUCUUCGGCUCUCAAGAAAAUGCAGGCCUUGUUUGAUAAGUAAUGCAUUUCUCUCACUUACACUCGUUAAACUAUCUUUUAUUUUCAGUCUCUCAUCUUUCUUUACAAGAAUAGUUCUACUAUAAAAUCCCAUAAAUUUUUGUUUGGAUUGGCAUUUUUUCCCAAAAAAAAACUUUUACGUUUUCGGCGAACACAUUUUUCAAUCACCUUUUUACCUCACAUACAUCAAAUCGAAACAGCACAUUUUUCUACAGAUUUUUCAAAAAAAAAAAUAGCAAUCUAAGGAUGAUAAGGACACACCAACUAUGAUGCAUGAAUUUGUACGUAGGUCUAUUAUUCUAAGAAUGAUAUAGGUGAUUUAAUUUCAGACCCUACAUAUUUAAAUAAGUUUUUCUCAUAGUUGUUUAACCUAAUUGGUAGUUAGCUUUUUCGUUUCUGCAUGACUUUUUAAGCGUACCUAGCUAGUAGACGAAUAUCGUAAUUGAUUGUUUUCCACCCUACUAAACAAGAUGCUUGUUUUCUUGUGCAACAGAGUAGAGCAUGGUGUCUACAAUUUGUCAAGAAUGAGGGAAUCUGCAACAAACCGAUACAAAGGGUUUCAUAUUCCAAUGGAGUGGAUGCUAGAUACUGGAUAUGUUAGUCAGGUAUAAUUUACUUUUAAAUUCAGGUUUGGCCCUCGUAAUUGGAGUAAAACUCUUUAAAAUUCUGAUUAGGAAAACAGCCCAGUUACAAAUUCAUAAUUGCUCACUGAUUUUCUGUCCCCUGCUCACAUCUGCAAGCAAACUACAAUAUUGUACACGUACAGAAAAGCCAACUAUUGCUAAUAAUAUAAUCAUUUAUAGGUGGUCCAUGCAAUAAUUGUAUGUUUGUUGGUAUGAUUCAAUUGGCAAGAACUCGACCUCGCAUUAGAAAUAUUUGGGUUUUGCCUCCUAUGGAUUGUCAUUUUUCCUCGAAAAUUUUUUUACAUUUUUUAUGAGCACAUUUUUCAAUCACUUUUUUGCUUUGCAUGCAUUAAAUCGUUCCAAUAUAUUUUUUUUUUUAUAAAAUCUCUAGAAAAUAGCAAUUCAGACGGACCAGCUCCGUUGAUAGUAGGAACUAGUAAGUAAUUGAACCCUUAAUCCUCCUAAACUUUACAUUAAAAAAAAAGUAAUAAUUACAUGUUCAUGUUUAGAUGUACAACUUUUUAUCCAUGUAAGGCCAAUCUGAUUUGCCCAAACCAGUGGACUUCUUGUUAUACAAACUAGUACCCGAGUACCAAGAGAUGGUGAAUAAAAAAAUUGAAAGACUUUGGUCUACCAAGAAUUAUGCCAAAGUAUCGAUAGGUCUUACUAGAUGACAAAGAGAAAUAGAAAAAUUAUUAGCAUACCUCAAUUACUAUGCCCACGCCUGCAUGGGCACAUGUGAAUACUCAGAUCUCUAGCAUUUUAUUUGCUUGUCUGCAUUGCUUUUGAUGUUUGUUGUAGGUGAGUAUAAAAAGAAUCAGAUUCUACUUGUUGACCUUUUAAUAUAUAUCACUAUGGUUUUUUAUAUUUCCACACUUGUGUUGACCGGAAUUCUUUUAAUGGGGGGGUGGCCUUAAUAAUUGCGAGUCUAAAGUGGAAAGGUGUGAAGUUUCCUUCCAAUUCUCUUUGGAUUUACAUAAACCAAUAUGCAUAGGUUUGCAUGCAGAGUCAUUCCUUUCUUCAUGUGUCUUGUUUAGGCAAUUAAGACUUUAAUGUGUUAAUUUAAUGUUUAUUAAGGAAGACAAAUUGGAUCUUAAAUUCCAUAUUUUACGUGUAUUGUCUAUGAUGUUGUUGCAAUAGAUUGAUUGACUAGUAGUAGUGUAUUAGAAAUAAUAAUACAAUAGAAUUAACAAAAAACAAAAGUAAGAGAAAGGAUUUUUCCUUCCUUGGGAGCAUCAAUCAUCUUGCAUUGUUUACCUAAUGCUCUGCUUUAUCGUUUUCUUCCUUUUUGCUGCUUUUACGCGGGUGGUGGUUGUUACCUUCCAUAUUUGGGAUUUGCAACAAAUUAACCUUACACGCAAGUUGAUGGCUCAGAUUCAGAUAGAUAUGCACACAGAAUCUAUUGUACAAUAAUGGUUAGGUGUUUUUGAGCUUCAAAUGUUAUGUGAAUAUCCACCUAAAUUGUAACAUGUAAUUGCUACAAUUGGUUGGGGUGCUAUCCUAAUCUGUGUAAGUGUUCCAAAAGCGCAAGUGUUCCAAUAACAUGAAAACCCCACUUGGGAAAUAAAUUUACUAUCACCGAGAAUUAUGAUGGUCCUCUGAAUUAAAGAUGGCAAAUUUUGGCCAUAAUCCAUUUCAAGAACUGUUUCAAUUCCCUCUUGGUUGGGGAAUGCCACAAAUGAGAUGAGGGCUUGUGAUUGAUAAUAAUGCAUGGGGGCGGGGACAUUAUUGCAGAUAAAGCUGGCAUCUGUGAAAUUGGCCAUGAAGUACAUGAAGAGAGUUUCAGCAGAACUUGAGACCGUGGGUGGUGGUCCCGAGGAAGAAGAGCUUAUAGUUCAAGGUGUUAGGUUUGCCUUCCGGGUUCACCAGGUAAUGUUUGGCUUGCAUUCAGUACACGACGAUCCCUACCAUUUUGGCUUUUCUCCUUCACAUGCAUAUACAAGUCCAUAUACACACGUAUAAAAUUGAAACAUGCAUUUACCUUCGCGAAAUUUCCUAAAUUAAAACCUUGUGUAGAGCUGAAUGUAUGUCUUGCAUUUCAUGUCAAGAUUGACUAAUUCACACACCAUCAGGGGAGGGUAGAGUUGGGUGGUAAGGUGAGAAUAUCAUAGUUAUAAAACCCGUUCUAACGUCGAACCAGUCAAUCCGGUGAAUUGGCCAUAAGCCCUCGUUUGCGGUUGCGGUACAUGAAGUGCUUUCUUAUACGUCAUUGCAACUCCAAAUGGGGCUUAACACACUACCAAAGAUAUAGUACUACCAUAUUAAUUUGGUAAUUUACAAGGGCAUUUUAGUAAUUAAGCAUGGUUAUCAGUAAUCAAAAUGCAUGUUUUCAUUAGGUAAUUUAUUUUUGCUACAAUGCUUGCCUAAUUGAUUUUUGGUUGUACAUUGUUGCAGUUCGCUGGUGGUUUUGAUGUGGAGACAAUGAGGGCGUUUCAAGAGCUGAGGGACAAGGCAAGGUCCUGCCAUGUACAAUGUCAAAAUCAGCAACAACACAAGUACCUUUGCAGGUCCACAGCUUACUAAUAAUCUCAUCUGUAGCCAACUCAGCUUCAGAAACUGGCUUCCAUGACAUUUUGGUGUAAAGAUACAAGAGGGAUAAUCACAGAUGUGAAUAUACAAUUGCCUGCUGCCAUUUUGCACUUAAAUAUAUACAUUGAUUUAUUUUAUAAUAACCUCAAUUGUUUCUCAACUUAAAAGAAGAAGACUGAAAUUUGGUGGAUGCCAAAAUCAUCGAGCCCCCCACCUUCGUAGAUUUGCAAGGGCCAAUGUUUGCACGAGGUUUUCGAAUCUAAUUCAAUCGAUGAUUUGUGGGUGCGUUUGGAGCUGCGGUAGUUUAUUGAAAAAUAUUUCUUCUCUAGUAGGAUUUUAAAUAAAAAUGCUUAUUAACUGUUUAAAUACUUUUAAAUAUAUUAUUUGAAGACAUAAUUCAACAAAUACUCAUUGUAUUGAAUAGUGCGUAAUUUGAAAAUUUUUAAAAGUGUUUAUCUUUGUAUUUGAUUCAUAAUAUAGGAUAAAAUGAUUAAAUUUGAUGUUUUAUUUUUUAAAAUCACAAAAGCUACUCUAAAAGCAUCACAUUUGAGAUUUUGCUAAAAAUGCUUUGAGCACCAGAAACUCUACUUCUAAAUUUAUGAGAUGAUGUUCAUCAAACACUUUAAAAGUUACUUUUAACACCUAAAAGUACUUUUUUACUAAAAGCAUUGCAAUUCCAAACGGGGCUAAUUUGGAGUUGCGGUGCUUUCUGUUAAAAUAGUGCUUUUAGAAGAUAAAAGCACUUUUAACAUGUUUGAUCAACAUCAUUCCUAGAAUUUAGGAGUAGAGUUUUUGGCCAUUAAAGUUCUUUUAGCAUAAGCUCAAAAUUAUUGAUUUUAGAGCAACUUUUAUGUUUAAAAAUAUAAAAAAUUAACUUAACAACUUUAUUAUAAAUUUUGAACUAAAUGAAGAGAUAAAUAUAUUUUAGAAAUUCAAAAUCACCUAUUAUCAAAUAGAAAAAGUACUUAUGCAAGUACGUACCUACAUAAUAUGAUUAACUACUUAAUUAGUACUUUGAUAAAAAGUUCUAUUAAUUAACAUGCUUCCUGAUAAACCAUGCAACUCCAAACAUACCCUUAAUAAGAAUUGGCAUGAUUUUCUUCCCUUGCGUAAGCAUUUUCUCGAAGAGAAAACUGCAUUUGGAAGUAAGUUUGGAGCAUGUCCCGGCGUAGUGCUAAAUUGAAGUGGGGCGGAUGUUCUCUUGUUCGCCAUCAAAUUAGUCAAUUGCAGUGAACACAACCCCUUCAGAAAUUUGGGCCGGCUGUGCUCAUCGAAGGUUUUGAAUUGGGUUUCGUGUCUUCCUCCUCCAUGAGUGGUUAGAUAGGAGAUUAUUCUAAGAGAAAGAUUAGGAAUAAGACGUCAUAAUAUAAUGAUACGAAAUAUAUGAAAUAAAAAUGUGAUUCGUAUUAUAAAAAAUUGCUUAGAAAAUAUAUUUAAGAUGCAAAAAAAAUGAUAUUUGCAAAAAAUUGGAUAUCCAAACACAAUACUUCAAGUGUCAACCAUAGAGAUAUUAAUUAAGUAAUCGUGAGAUCCUUAAUUCCAUCCUCAUACCUUCCAUAAUCUUCGUUUCCUUUGCAAGACUUAGAACCAUCCUUGAACAAAUGUCAAAAAAAUAAAAAGUACAAAAAUAUUUUAAUAAGGGUUCUUCAAUGUUUCAAGACCUAACUCAACUAAUAUGGGAUAUUAGUUUCUUGGUUAAGUAAGAAAGCUUCCACGUAAACAAAAUAUUAUAGAAAUACCUUUUCCUUUUGAUAUUCAAUGGGAAGGAGAAAAGAUAGACAUUAUGUAAAUUGUGGUGACACUAAAACUCUUUGAAUUGUACAUUUGGACUUUGUGUUAAAAAUAGCACUCAUAAUAAUUCUUUGAGAUGUAAUGUAUGUUAAGUAAAAGAUGAAUUAAAACUUUAUGAAAAAAAUAUUCAUUUAAAAACUCAAAAUUAUUCAUGAAACUAACAAUUCAACUCUUGUAAUUUGUGUUUGAUAGUGGUUAAUUUUAUAAAGAAAGCAUCUCAUAAAUUUGUAAAGAAAACAUUGGUGAAUUAUAAAGAAAGAAAAUCCAACAAUAAAAAAAGAAAAUUGCAAUUCAACUGCGUUUUGUGAGGACCUAGUCCGUUCGUACGUUGAGAUUAGGGUUAUUCAUUAUUUUGUACGGUUAAAUUAAGGUUUUAGGGCUAAGGAGAAACCCUAAUCUCGGCCAAGAUUGAAAACCCUAACUUUGCUUAUGAUAAAACCCUAGUUUCUGCGGUAUUCUAGUGUGUGUUUUGGCACAAGUAAAAAUAAGAUUUGUUAUAGUUUACAGAGGUUUAACAAGUUUGAAAAUGGUUAGUAAACUCUGGAUUAGUAAACCUCUAGUGUUACAAUAUUAGAAAGCUUAAGAGGAGUUUUGUUUAUCGCCCGCCUUUUCUACAUUUUCUUUAUUAGAAAAAUUCCCCAGAUAAUUUUUAUGAGUAAAUAUAGAUUUUAAAUGAUUUUUCUAGUAUCGGUUAGUUUUUGCGAAAUUAAGAACGUACAUCGGAUGUGGGACCCACUAGUGCGAAAAGUUCGGAAAAAUUCGGCCAACUAGGUUAAGUUUUGGAUAUUGGAUUUCAUUUACCAGGUGUUAUGAGAUAAUUGAAGGUUGUUAUAUGGAUGAGAGUGGAGAGAGACAAAGUGAUAGAGAUGCAUUAAAUAAGGUGACAAGUGUCACCAUAAGAUUAACUCUUACAAUUUGACUUACUAUUCAUACUUUUACCAUUUUGCUUAAAUAUCUCAAAAAUUUGACCCAAAAAUUAUCAAAAAUUCCUCCAUAAGAGCCGCCCCUCUCUUCUUCUCUUCCUCUCUCUCUUACUCCAAGCACAAGGAAGAAACACUUCAAUCUUGUUCCAAAUCAUCAAAACCAACCAUCCAACCUUGAUUUUGCUCCAUAAAACACCUUCAAGUGGUGGUUAUGAGUUGUUUUGUGGAUUUGUUUGGAAAGUUAAGGUGGUCAAUAGCUCUCUCUCUUGUUCUUAAGGUAAGUUGUGAAGAACCACCUUCUUCCUUUAAUUGAUGCUUAAAUCAUACUUAGUGGUAGCAUAAGAUGCAAAGUUAUGGUUUAUUUCUUGAUUUGUGGUUGUAGUGAUGAAGUUUUAUUAUUUUUGGGAAUUUUCUGUUUUAAUAUAAGCAUGAUGGUAUGGUUAUCUAUGAUAAUGGGAAAUGGUAUAUAAUAACUCUAGGAGGUGGAACAAGUGAUUAAUUGCACCCAAUUUCUGAUUUGGAAGGAAUUUGAGAAAAUUAGGGUUUUAUAUCCCCAAUUCUGUCCGAUUUUGUAUCUCAUGGUUAGAGGCCGAAUUGGCCUUGGCUUAAAACAUGAAAGUUGUAGGUAAUGAUGUUUUAAAAGUGCCUGCAAAUUUCAGGUCCAUCGGAGUAGUGUAGAGUGAGAUAACUCGAAAUUACUAUUGCUGUUCUGGUUUACCCAGAAUUGGAAAACUGUGAUUGUAAUUGGUUGUUUUGGCUAGGAAUGCUUCCGAAUUGAUUGUUGUGGUCUUCUGAUGAAAUGUAGCCCUGUUUCUAAGCUUUCAUAUGACUUUGGAAUUUCUGGAUUUAGACUUGUGUAGGCUAAGUUAUGAUGUUUACGCUAGACUGCAUUUUGUGAACCUGUUUGCGGUUCUGGGAUUUUGUACUGCAUUUUGACCUAGUUAUACUCGAAACUAGAUUGAGUGGUCUUCUUCAACAUUGUAGCCCCUUGAGUCCUGAAUAUACCUGUAAAAUCUCAGGUCAAAUGGAUUAGUGUACUCUGAGUUAUGGACAAAAACCUCAGGCCUGUUGUUUUAGACAUUACUUGGUGUACGUUUGGAAUUUCAGCUUCUGACCGUGGGUUUUUCCGUUUUGAUACCUUGCGAAUUGGGUGCUGAUCCCUUCAUAAGAAAUUUAGAUCGUGGUCUCAGCUUUGAAAUGGUAUAGAGUGCGUCGAAAUCCAAGUUCCGUAGCUCCUGUUAUGACCGAAAUAAAAGUGAUCGUCAGAACUGCCUUGUAUCUGGACAGUUCUGACGGGUACUUUGGCACUCGAUUUUCGUUCUGUUUUGAGUGGAUUCAGGUCUUGGCCAAAACAUCAAAGUUUUACCUUAUGUCUCAGCUUUCUAAUGCCUUUGGAAUUUUCUGAUUUGGAGUUGUGAGCUGGGAGUUAUGGUCUAGCAAAAACCCUGUUCGUCACCCUAAGACGUAAACUUCUGGUACCGUCUUCCACGAUUUCGGCCUGCUUUGAUUCAGAUCUAGAUUAAGGUGUCUUCAUGAAAAUUGUAGCUCUAUCUCAUAGCUUCGAAACGGUAUCUUGUUCACUUUGAUCCAACAUUUUUAGCCUAACUUUUGACCAAAACGGUUUGAGAUGGCAGAUUUGGCCGUCCCGUUUGCCGUUCCGCGCAUACGCGUGUGCCCCUUUUUGCCGUUUCUGCACUUGCGCGUGCCAAUUUUGUCGUUCGGCUUGUUUUAAGUACGUUAGUGGCCGUUUGUGAUAUAUUAUGACACAAUCUUCUAUUUCAGACAGUGGUGAGUUAGGCGGAGCCGGUGGGGCUCACUACUAGCGAAACAUGCGCGAAGCAAUUUUGCUUUUGUACUACUUUUGUAUUUUGAGUAAGUAUUCAGGCCGCUUUUAUGUGUUAGUUGCUUAUGUGUUUCGACAUGUAUGAAGAGGGUACUUAGGCGAGGGUGUACUUUAUCGCACUCGCUCUAAACCCGAAUUUACGCUCAUAUUUGUACAUGACAUAUGUAUGUGAAUCAUUUUGGAACUAAAACCCUUGAGCUUGUGGCUCGGGGUGAUUUUGAAUAAUUUUGUGAAGUUUGUGAGUUUGGGGCGAGCUCUUGACCUAGAUGGACUAUUCGAGCCGGUUAGGGCUUGGUCGAAGUCAGUCCAACCUGGUUGGAGGUCACCAAGUUUGUGAAUCCGGUUCACCGAGUAUGUGGACCAAGUUUGUGACCCGAGCUUGUGACUCAAGCUCAAGUUUGUGAUUUCGUUCGCCCGGGCAAAUUUGUGAGGUGACUGGCCAGUGAGGGUGAUAAGGUGUCGGUGGGUGUACAAGUGAAGUUCUACGGACCAUUAAGUGUGGUCGACGGAGUGUCGGCAGGAGAUCACGCAUGGCAUACGAAUUGGUUUUGGAGCCACCUGUAUCCUUAUUAUGUGAUGUUAUUUUUCUGCUUUUGCUUUACUCUUACUAUGUCACUGUUGUUACGUGAAAUUUACGCUUUUGCCCCUGUUUACUUACUAAGCAUAUAGCUUACCUCAUUGCUUUUGUUUUCCUUAGCAGGGGCCGACGCGGGGACUUUUGGCUCGUACACUAGUAUAGUUAGAUUGACUUGUAUUAGUUGAACAGUUAGAAUGUUUGUUUUUGUUUUUGUGGUUUGUAUAAGAACCCUUCUUAGGGUCUAUCUUCUGCUGGUGGUGGUUAUAGUGUAUUAGAGUGGUUUGACUCGAGACUUUUGAAGAUGUAAAUAUAACUUUUGGGAUUGUAUAUAUUGUAUAUAGUGAUCUUUCGAUUUAUCUAGUUUUAUUGCGUUAAGUUUUGAGUCCUGGCGCGAGUUAGGCAGGCGGCCCGCCGAUACCCUUGGGUUCGCCCUUAGGAAAAGCGGGGUCGUCACACGUUUGUAUUGAAAAUUUUGACAAAAAAUUUGAAAUCCUCCCAAAUCUUUCUAAUUGUUUAUUUAAGAAGACAUUUAAAUUUAUAAAUCACAAAUUAUUGUCAGGUUCAAAGCGUGUUUUGAUUUUUGAUAAUGGAUGAAUUAUAAAUUUAAAUAGCUUUUAAGCAAUAUUUAUGUGAAUUUCCUUGGUCAAAUUCCUCAUCCAAUUGAAUUUAUUUCCAAUAUUUAUGUGCCUCUAUCUCUAUCUUACCACAAUUAUGCAACCUAUAUGAAAAAAAAAAAAGAAUUAUAAAGAUAAUAAAUUUUAAAAUUAGAUUACUUUGGAUAUAUAUUUUAAAAGAAGAGUUAUUUUGGCAAUAAACUACAGCUAUUAGUGCCCAAUGGAAGCAAGAUCAAGAAGCUAAGAAACAAAAUGAUGAUUGCUUCUACUUCUUUCACUGCCACCUCCACUGCUAAACUUCUUCAUUCUUCUUCUGCAACCCGCAAUUCUAACCCUUUUCUUGGAUUCACACACAAGACGCCUACCAAACAGUCCUCUUCUCCGCCUCGCCGUGUCCUCCACCUGGUUCUCACGGCUUCAAUUUCAAGAUCAUCACCACCAGCAGCUCCACCACCAUCGCAACCCAAAACAAGCAUGGCUAGUGAAACUGUUCCCUCCCCUUCAAUGAAGCUGUUGUUCGUUGAAAUGGGUGUUGGAUAUGAUCAACAUGGGUACUUUCUAUUCUUUUUCAAUCCCCUUACCACCUUUUUGUUUCGAUAUUCAAUCUUUUUCGAUAUCUGAGUUUUUUUUCAAGUGUUAAAGAAAUUGGGAAGUGGAUAUAUAGAAUAACUGUGGUUCUCCAUACGUUGUCAUGUGGAAUUGAUACUUUCUUGGGAGUCGUAUGUGUAUGGGAAAUUGAUGGAGAAGGAGAGGGAAGAGUGAAAAAUGAGUGAGGGAAUAUGGGGAGAAAAAGAAUAAAGAGUCAAAUAAGCGGAAGAAGAGAGAGAGCAGAAACAGGAAAGGAAGAAGAAAGCGAUCUCUGAGAGAUUUGACUUUAAAGUCGACCUCUAUGACAUUAAAACUUUAGAGGGGAUUUUUCACAAAUUUUCCUGGUUUGGGAAUAACAAAUUAAAACUAGAAAUAAUAUAUUGUUUUCAAAAUUUCAACACAAGUUUCAAAAUUCAAGUAUAUAGCCCAUUGCAUAAAAGCGGGAUUUUGGAUGUAGUUUUAGCUGAAAUUAGAGAAUGGAAAGGUAAGACGUAGCUUGCUAGUGAUUUCUUAAGAAUACAAAGAGAUGGGACUUUGGCCUGAGCCCUAUUAUACAGAGCAGUUUGUUUGCUGUAUGUUUUUUCGUUAAAACAAAAAAAGGAUCUUGGAUUAAGCAUAUUGGAAAUGAGUGAAUGAACAGGCAGGUCAAUAGUUUAGAUGAAUUUCGUGGAUUUUGGACUGGACCAUAUGAUAUGCAGUAAUAAGCUAAUGUGCAUGUUGGUUUGAGUAGAAUGGGAUUUUGGACUGAAUCCAGUUUAAACAAAUGGAUGAACAGGCAAGAUAUUACUUCAGCUGCCAUGCGAGCUUGUAGGGAUGCUAUCUCUUCCAACUCCAUUCCUGCCUUCAGGAGAGGUAAUUGUCACCUUGUUAUUAUUAACUAAAGUGUUAAUCUGUUCAUAAGUUUCUGAUGAUUUAUUCAUCUAUUAUUAUGUAUGGAAGCAAUAUAUGCAACUAUCUGAAAAUUACAAGGUCAUAUGUGAACACUUUUUGUUGUGCUUAUUGAUCGAGGAAUAAUUGUUGGUUUUCAUUGCUCCAACUUAAUUUAUGAAUUCACAUGUGGGGUUGGAUUUACUGCUUCAUUAUUCAGAAAGAAUGUAUGCCUGAUUACCCCAGAAUGCUAGCAAUUCAAGUAGAACAUCUUUGAACUUAGAAAGAAACAUAACUAGAAUACUUCCCCUACCUUUUCUUGAGUGUCUUUGCGAUUUGGAGAUCGAGGCUUGUUGCUGCAGGGACUAAGAUAUGAAUGAGGGUCCUCUGGCCAUUUAUUCUUUAACUCAAAGCCAAUGUUUUGAUAAUUGUUAGCCAGAGGGACUGCCUAUAUUUGUUUCUGGCUCUUAAUCUUGGAUACUAUGCAUCCUAUAACAUUUUAAGAUGAAAUAUUCUUAUCUGAAUCUGGAAUUUUAGUCUGCUUGCUACCAAAUUGCAGAGUCCACUCAGACUCUGAGCAGAUAGAAGUAUUUCAUUGGAAUAACUAGGGUGAAAACGUUUCAAGAGUCAAACAUUUCUUAGAAGAUGCCUUCUGCCUUUCUCACUGAACUGAGCACUGUAGCUUCCCUUUUUCUCUGAACAACUAGGAUAUUAUUACCUAUCAAUGCCCAAUUUAAGACCAUCAAUUGCCAAACUUGUUUUCAUGCUCGCUUUCUGUUUCCUAUCCUCACCCCCAGUGCUGUUUGUCCUCUUUUGAUAAGCAAGCUUGGGUUUCAAGGUACCUUUUAACUGCUUCAAAAACGAUAGUGUCUUUUAUUUAGAUACCAUGAGUAACAAGCACAUAUUCAGUUGUACUGUGAUUUCUAUUACUCGGCUUUCUUCGUGAUGUAUGUAUUGAUUAUAAUAGUAUUCUUAUCAUAAACAGCUGACUUAACCAUGCAUUCCUUCUUUACCACGAUUAGAUAUCUUGAUGGCGCUGCACAUUCCUUGUGUAAUGUGUUGAAAGACUAGAAAGGUCAGGAUUCAUUGGCUGAACCUCUAUUGUUGUUUGAAAGAAGAAACAAGGUAUAGACAAAAGGAUAGAGAAUAGAACAUCAAAGCAGUAGCUCAGAUGUUCCGUGCAGGUUUUUGAAUUCUGAAAUCUAUGUUGGUUUUUUUCAAAUCUUUGGUUCCUCAAUUGUCUUGGUUGUACAAUUGGGUUUUUCUAGUUGCUGCCAAUUAGAAUGAGUAAUUGAAACAUGUAUUUGAACCCUUUGUUGUUUUUAAAGUUAAGCAGAACAUUUGAUUCAGCUUUUGUCAUAGCUUUGCGUGUGCAAAUCUUGAGAUGCAAACCAUUUUGCGGCAACCUUGUGCUUGCACGGAUACCUUUCUAUAUUUAUCUGUUUAUAAAGAAAAAAUCCUAUAUUUGAUUCUCUUCUCUCUCUCAAAUUUGAAGCUUGCACUCUUUGAUUAUUAACUUUAGAAACUGUUGGUAUCUAUUUGUGCCAGCCAGAAGCUCUAUGCUGAGCCAUAUUAAGAAUAUUCAAAGAGAAAAAAUUAACAAUGUGAAGAAAAUGUAAUUCUGCAUUUAUGACAACAAGGAAAUGCACUUCAAAUAUUUUAGUUGCAAACGGUUUGCUUUGUCUAGGUCAAACUAUGGCUUGUUUUUUUCUCCUAAUUUGGAUAUUCUGUUGUUGGUCUUUUUUUAGUGCGGCAUUAUGUUGUCAUUUGUAAGCCUUUAAAUUGAAUGUUUAUUGUUGUAAGUAGUAACUUAUGUAGUAGAAUGCUUUGCUUAUUGCAGGUUCUAUACCUGGUGUUUCAUUUAAUGAGAUGAAACUACAGAUCAAAUUGGGAGUUCCUCGACCUCUCCAGAAUUCCCUGGAAAUUGAGAAAGUCAAGUCUGUUUUCCCUUAGUGAGUAUAAUGCACUCUUUUCAGUACUGUGUAUAAACCCAACCUUCUGAUUCUCAAAUACGUAUUGGAGCUUAGCAUAAUUUCUUUAUGAAGUUUGCAUCAGAUUCUUAUCGCUGAGGUACUGUCAUGUUGUCCAUUUCUGUCUUAGGUUAUUCUUAACUUGUAAUUAAGAUAUCCUAGAUAAAUCCCAUUAUAUGUCAAUUUUGCUGAUAUAUCAAGCUGUGUGUCUAUUGUUCUUCUUGUUGUAUGGCAUUCUCUUAUAGUUUUUAGUAACAAUGAUGCAUAAUUAACAAAAGUAUUACCAUCUUUUCAAAGAAAAAGUUCUUUUUGUCCUGGAGUUUUCUCAAGAAUACAGGGUCUUAUAUAGAAGCUUCUUUCUAUUUCCCAACUUUUCGGUAACUCUGAAAGUGUUAGAUUUCAUGUUGUUACUUUUCUUCUUUCUCCUUAUUGUUGUUACUGGGGGUUGGUUUUCAGCUCGAGAAGGACAGUAGGUGGGGGGAAGGGGAACUGGGAGAAAAUUCAACCUUUUCUUUUAAUUGCCUCAAAAAAUGUUCUUUCUCUGCGACUCAUGGCUGUCUUUUUGUCUCUUUGACAGUGGAAGCAUCUUGAGCGUUGAAGUCGUGGAUGGUGGGCUGAUAUGCUCAAGUGGUGUGCACGUAGAAGAAAUGGGUGAUAAGAAUGAUGACUGCUACAUUGUGAAUGCUGCUGUUUACGUUGGCUAUUGAGUUGUUUUCGUGACUGUCUAAAGAUGUCAGCUUUAUCCCUUUGUCCUCAUUACCAAGUAUAUCACUUUCACCUUGAUGGCUUACCAGAACUGCGUAGGAUAGAUGGUUCUUUUUCCAGAUAACGUAAUAGGCACAAAAUGAUUCAAAAUAGUGGAUUUGUUUGUUUUUUCUUGCUGACUCACACAGAGAUGUGUGUGGACAAACACGACAUGUCUGUCUUGCUUAGAUUUGCUAAUAUGCCUUUGUUUGUUGUGGUUGUGUUGCUUGUCUUUUUAUAGACCUUGAGAUGUUUGAAUUUUACCACAUGUUGUCUGAGAUUGAUAAAUAUGCCGAUACCAAUGAUGCUGUUUUUCGUGAUGUCUUCUCUGGCAUUUUCUGCAUGUCAAACUACCGACACGGCUACCGCUACCGCCACCGCCACCGCUACCACCACCGCUACCUACCGCCUCCGCCACCGCUGCUGCAUCCAGCAUGACAAAAACAGCAUUUCUUGCUGCUAUGAUCUGCCGAUCCCGCUACCGCCACCGCAUCUAGCAUGACAAAAAUAGUAUUCUUUGCUGACUUGCUGCUAUGAUCCGCCGAUCCCAAUGCAUGCUAAAAGCAAGACUUGAGGGAGUAAGGGCAAAAGAAGAUGAGGAUCAGAAUUUUCUCAUAUGCCGACAUCAUGAUUGGGGUCAUCUCUACCUGGUUGCUUGCAUUUGUGUUACUAACACGUGAAAGAUACUUGAUCAUGAGGUGUAUACAGGAUUAAGUUUUUGUACUCUCUUUUGUCUCUACUUUUCCGGUUGAGACAGAUUUCUCUUUGCCAAAGUCCGCCAAUUGGUUACCUUUGCACGUCCUGAGCCUUUAUCUUUGCUUUUCUUUUCUCGUUUGGUAGUAGAAUUUGAGCUAUAAUUAUGAGGGGCCUAACGAAUUACUCGUAUCUUUGACUGACUUUACAUGGUAAAUGAAAUGUCAGUAGUUGAGAGGUUGUGUUGGUGCUUGCUAUACUGAGACGCUAUCUUGAGACAGCCCAUUUUUCUUCUCUGGUUUUCACUCUCUGCAGCAUGCAUCCACCUACCGUAUUGCUCUUAAUGAAGAAUCUCUUGUUUAAUUGAAUUGCCGAGCAACUUGGCUUUGUGAAAAAGGAAUGUUGUUGUUCACUUGAGGCAUGGGCUAAGAACAGAAUAGAGGUGCAAAUAACAAAUAGACUGCAUUCUUGGCUGUACUUGUACAAGUAUUCAAGCGUGAGUUGAUUCCUAACGGAAGCAGCCUUGUAUAUGUUUACAUUUGUAAUUCCAAAAGCAUGAUUUUCUCUGUCUUAUUCCUUUCUACGUAGAUUUAAUGAUAGGACAAGUAAAUCUGCAGCCUUGAUUGUUUCCACGAAUACAGGUCAUGCAGAUCAUUCCUGCGAGAGCUAAAGCAAAGCAUAGAGGAGCUGGUUCCAAGUAUCAGGCACCCCAGGAAGGCACCAAUGGCUGCAGUCAUUACCCGAUUUCGAACCACCGUAACCCGACGGAUGAGCAUCUUUUCUCAGUUGUGAGAGUGUUGUAAUAUCAAGCAGCACAACUGGUUUCUGCAUGCUGCUUAGGGUCUUUUUAACCACGUCCACAGCCGGGGGUAAUCCUGCUGGAU
rnacentral:lncRNA from 1 species